rnacentral:lncRNA from 1 species
AAGUAUUGUUGUAAUUGGAGAAAAAAAGGAAAAAAGCAAAAGGUACUAUUUUGUAAAUUUUAAUGUGCUGAAUUUUGUGAAGGUGGAUUUUACAAGUUAGCAGUAUUUGUGAACAGUUGUUUUGUAUGAACUGCAUUUUAUAUACAGAUUAUGGUAUACUAUGGAUAUUGGUUUUGAUUCUGGUAUGUUUUGAAACACACAAGUGUUAAAUUUUAUAAGAGUUAUAUAUAUAUAUAUAUACCUUUCCUUUCCCUUCAUUUUUUUUUUUUUUUUUUUUUUUUUUUUCUUUUCAUUUGGGAAUGUAACAACCAAAGUACUUUUCAGGUGUACAAUGGUGCAACAACUCAUCAAUAUUAUUAUCUUGAUUUGUUAUAUCAGCUUUUUGCCAAAAACUUGGUUCAUAGACACAAUUUUCAAACAUUUGGAAGGAAUUGCCAUUUGCUUUAGUAGGAAAAUAUUUUGUGUAAUCUUCUAAAUACCAAGAGUCUUUUAUAAUAUCAUAAAUUGCAAUAAUGUUGAUAUCAAUUACUCUAAUGCAAAUAAGACCAUUCCCCCCACUACACUCAAAUUGCUUAGAUGAAUAAUCUAUUGUUUGAAAUACAUCAUUAAAUAUGCUUUGAGGCAUUUUUGUUAGAAGAUGAUAGUUCCCACUUGGAAUGGGAUUGCCUUUAUAUCCUACCUUAAACUCAAUUCCAAAUAUUAAUAUUGUGUCGGCUAAUAUAAUACUUCUAGUCACUGCAUAUAAUAUAGGCAUUGUUGAUUGCCAUCUAAAGGGUUGUAUGACAAUAGGACAUUGUAAAUGGUUUUCUUUGGUCCCAAAAGGAUUAAAAGGUAAAGCAAGAGCAAAGUCAUCAUCUUCAACUAUAGAAACAUAGUAAAUAACUGGAUUACAUGUUUCAACUAAAACUUGUUGAAGCAUUGGUGGACGAGUUGAAUGACAAGAAUCUAAGAUACUUGUUAUGGUACUUUCACUUGAACUUUCUUCACACCAUAAUUUUUUUCUUAGGUUAUCACAUUCAUCCUUAGUUGGAAUAAUUUUAAGGUUUUUUGGAAGUAUAGAAUCUCCUAUAAUUGGUUUAAUUGUAUUUGGAAUUAAAGGAUGAGAAUUUAAUAAUUUUUCAUCACAAUCAUUAUUUGAUUUUUUGAUUUUUGAAUGGUCGAUAUUGUAAUCUUGGUUAUUUAAAGUUGUAGGAUUUUCAUUUCCAUUUAAACCAAAAUCUUCUAAUUGGAAUUCUUCAAAGUGUUCUUCUACCAAAAUUCCUCCAAAAAAAACUACUAUCCAAGAAUCUUUUUUCCAAAACCCUAUUCCACUUCGACCAUGUUUUGAAGGCAUCCAUCGUGAUAUAAAUGGUAGCGGUCGAAGCCACCAUCCUUUUUCCUUUUUAAUGGAUUCAUAUAUACAAACUACAAGUUUUUCUUUGUUGAGCUCAUCUUCAAAUUUGCUUUGGUGAUGAUGCCCCACCACAACAACUACAUAGUCAUGACAAAAUUCUUCUAAUUUUUUAUUGUAAAGAUCUGAUUCAAUUUCCUCACUACUUUCAGAGCUGUCAUUUGUUGUAUUAGUUCUACAAAAAACAACUCUUUUUUGUUUUUUGUUUAAGGGAUGAGGUUCGCAAGGAGUCAUUAUUAAACAAGCAUUUUUUUCUUGUAGGAUAUAAUAAGGAAUUGGAGAUAAAAAAUAAUAUUCCUGUGUAAGUGGGUUUGUGAUAAGUAUAAUGUCUUGUCCUAAUGGAUAUUUUUGCCGAUCAUAGUCAUCUUCUUCAUCAUGUGUUAAUGGAAGGAGCCUUUCAUCUAAAGUGGGUUUUGAGUGACAAGGUUGUACACCCCCACAACAAACCAACAAUCCACCAUCGCCCGCUAAAACCUUUGUGACAUGUUUAGGAAGGUAAUUCAAAGACGGGAAUGCAUACCAUUUUCUUUUUUCAUUGUGAUUGUUUGAAUAUUUUGCGCUUUUGUAUGCGGACAUUCUAAGAGAACCGUAAUCAUCGGGUUGGGUAUUCAUGCACAUAAUGAUUGGGCAAAAACUUUCAUACAAACGGUUUUGUUCAUUUUCAAAUUGAGAAGGCUUCCACUCAGUUAAUGUGCAAUUCAAGUUGUAAUGUACUUGAAAAACAGGUUUUCCACGAUCCAACUUGUUCCAUAUUUGAUCAAGAAUAGAAAGUGGAGCCAUACAAAACACUUCGGCCACUCCACAAGGCAUAAGGUGGUUCCAUUUUAUGGAUGAAUCCAAUGCAAUACGCUCAAGAUAGUUAAGAUCAAUUUCACUUAGAGUGUCAUUAAUGAAUAAAUUCUUUUUUCUUUUACUUUGUCUUGAUGCUCUUUGAGCAUUUUCUUUUUCAAUGUCUAAUAGUUGUAUAUCAUAAGUAUCACCUCUCAUUAUGGUUACAGAAUUGAAAUAUGUGUAAAUUGAACAGAAGCACAAAACAAACCUGGAGAUUAUUCAAGCUAAUUGCAUGGAGUGAAUCUCAUAGGAGAAAAAAAAGUAAAAAUCUGAAAGAAUAGUUGUAUAAAAAGAAUUCAUGCUUUGAAAUCAUCUAAAUCAAUAAAUUUCAUCUUGUAUAAAAUUAAAUCGUUGAGAUGUAUACCGAAAAAAAUAUUUUUUCUAUGUUGGAUUUUCUUUAUAGCUUUUAAAAUUCUACAUUUUCGGUAAAUUUUACAAGAUACAAUGGUUUGUUGUUUUUCAAAAAAAAAUAAAUAUAUGUAAUUUUCCAAGAAUGAUAAAUUACCAGAGGUUAGUCUGUCUUAGGAUAAAGAUUAAAUUCAUUAAAUUUGCAAUGAUAAAUUCAUCUUAAAAUAAAAUAUUAUCAUUUUAUUCAUAAAAAUAAUUUACCGAUUUAUUUAUCUGUUUAUUUAUUAUGAGUUUCAUACCAAGUUUAUGAAUAUGUUACUUUGGAUUUGAGAGUGCAUUAAAGGUCACGUGUCUUGAGAUUUGUCAAGAUGUUUGAUGCAUUCAUUUUAUCAUAAGACAUAACCUUUGAAUUCCAGAUGUCAUUGUGGAACUCUUUGAGACUUGUUUAUAGAUUACAGAUAUCAGUGCAGCUUUAAACAGCUCUAAUUUAAAAAAAUAAUUUAGUAUUUGGGUAAUUCUUUUAUGCAUACACUCACUCAUAAAUUUUUAUAAUUAUAAAAUUAAAGCUCAUGUAAUUCUUGACACCUCAUAAUAUUUACUUAUUUUAAAAUUUCCUGGUUUGUUUUAUCUUCGAAUGUUUUAUUGAUUAUGUUCCAUGACUAUGUAAAUUUUGUUCUUAAUUACACAUUUCAAAUUAUAUCCACGGAUCCUUUAUUUCUAGUUUAUAUUUUCUUUAAUACCCAUUUCUUUAAAGACAUAAAUCAUGAAUGAAAAGAAUAAAAUAAAACAACCUUUUGUAACCAAAUUUUGACAGUCUUUUCUGAGAUGAUUUGGUUCUCAGUAAAUUAGAGUAUAUAGGGACUACUGUUACCUAUUUACGACAUAAAAUAUCUCAAGUUUGACUGAGAUAUAGAUUUGAUUGCAAAAGAAACACAGUAGUUCAAAUUUUUAAUUAUAAUUUUAUCAUUUUAGUAACUAUUUAUGUAUUUUUGACAAUGGUAUCAUUUGAAUGGAUGAUUAGUGUAAAUUAGCAAUUAUUUUUGUUUUUAGAUUAAUAUGUGAUUCAGGAUUUGAUUUCCUGUUUUGAAUACAAUGCAAAACUGAUUGAUUCUCACUUUUAGAAAUUUAGAAUUAACAAAAAAAAUUAACACGUUAUAGUUUUAAUUAUCUCAAAAUAAAAGAAAAGCAAAAAGCAAAAAAAAAAAGAAAAAAAAAAGAAGCAAAAACAAAAACAAAAAAAACAAAUUAUCAAUUUCUAUUAUAUUAAAAUUUUCAAAUUUGAAAAUAUUAUUUAUUUUUGAUACUCCAUUUUAAUUAUUUUUUUAAGACAAUAAUAUUGAGUAUGCUUUUUUUCUUCCAAGGCUUUAAACCAGUUUUAAAUGUAAAAACUUUCAAUGCUGAGUGAAUAUCCCAGUAGAAAAUUAUGAGGAAACACGUUUAUUAGAUUCUUCAAUUUCAUGUGAUCUUAUUUUUACACUUCAAUAUCUAAAACAUCUUUUACAUCCUUCAAAAUCUGUCCAUAAAGCAUUGAAUACAGUCUCUAAAUUAAAAUCAUACAAAAAAGGGGAGGUUAUAUAUAUAUAUAUAUAUAUACAAAUCUAAUCUCAGAAUACACUUUAAGAUUUUGUAAGACUACUAUUAUAUCAAUGUUUAGUAUAAAAAUCUUAUGCAUAUUAAACACUUCUAUUGAUUGUAAUAAUAUUAAAUCAGAAUUCAAAAUGUCAUUAAUUUCUAUUAUCUUAAUAUUUACCAUAAUUACCACCUAGUACUUCUAUUAAAACAAGUCUAAACAUUUAAAGUUUUCUCUUUUAGAUCUAAACCCACAUAUACUCAACAAUCAUGAAUAGUCAAUGUUUACUACUACAAAAUCUACAUAUGUCUACAAUCUAAUGUAUUUGUUAUUUUAAUUUUUUUCCCAUGUUAUAACAUAAAUAUGUAACAUCUAAUGUAUAUAUUUUAAUUCUCACCUUAUCCAUUUCCACCAACUUCAUUCUCAAUAUAAUCUUUACAAUCCAACAAAUCUUAACCAUAUCCAUCUUACUCCCUUAUUAUCUUAAAUAUUCAUUCAACAUACUCUUGCUAUUACCAUAAUCCUCAACACUAAUGAACUAUCCUCUAAUUGUCUUCUUAAAAGAACCUUGCAUUAAGUGUUUUUGUUUCAUCUUAUCCAAUUAAUUAUUCUCAUACUCAACUCAUUUUUCUGUCAAUCAAUUAUUAAAUAUUUAUUUAUUCAAUUUGACCUCAAUUAAACAAUGUAAAUAUUUUACAAUUGUGUGUUUCGUAUUAAUGAGUAUUCAUCAAUAAUUUACACAGUAAUAUACACAAAAUAAUAUAAAACAUAGCAUAAAUGUACAACUAUAAUUUAACUAUUAAACAAUCUAAAUCACAACAUAUUGGAAAUCAACCAAGAAAAAACCUAAGGUAGAUCAUGGAUGUCAAACAAGUUGUGAGGAGAGACGAAACAUUUUGUUGGAAUUCACCGUUCUCUACCCUAAUCUAUAAAAGGUCCAAACAUGAAUCAUCAAAUACGAUACGUUAGAGGAGCAUCCCUUGAUCUGACAAUUGGAAAUUUGGACAACCCUUUGAAAAAAACAUUCCAAAGGCCGAAAAACAGCAACUUAAAUGGAGAGCUUACCACGAGGCAGUCCACUGGAAGGAAUACGUAGAAACAAAAGUUAAAAUAAUGGGCAUUACCAAAUAAUAGUGCUGCUUCCAGAAAAAGAACCACAUAUAAGUAAACCACAAACAAGUAAAAACGUUCAGGACUCGAUAAGCAAAAUUAGAUUAUCAGAUACACACAGUAAUCAACGACAGUAUAGUAACUCCAAUCAAGUAGAAUGCAAGUUGCAAUACAAGUAACAGCGGAAAGUAUAACUAAAGUGAAUAUGAGGUGAAGUGAGUUGAACUGGGUGCUCUCGUUCCCUAAUGUACAUUAAUUAAGAUAGGCAUAACUACUCUGCUGCAGACCACCACCUAGACAUUUCACACCCAACCGUCCUCAAUCUCCUCCAAGCAAACCUCUUGCAUACGCAAGUGUGCAGAAUUAGGAUAUGUGUACCACCGCACUCCCAAAGAUACUACUCCAUUUUCCAAAAUAACUAUUGCUAAUAUGUGAAUGCAUUGUAUGCAUGCAUAUGAGUAUGUGUCUAUGAGGUCAUGCUCAACUUUCUGCUGGACACAAACUCCAGCUACGCGACGAACCAUUUCGGUUUCCCACUUGGUAAAGCUGUUCCAAAGAGCAGAUCCGCUCAGUCGCUGUAAUCCCUCAACAGAGCCUCAGGAAGAUAAGGCAUCAGUUUCAAAGGUGCUCACUAUAGGUAUUUAAUUUCCAAGCUCACGAGCACCAUUUCGCAUUAUCCCUGGAAGCCCCCAACAGAAACACAAAUCUCAGAACCGUACUCGAAGUCAAUGAAUGCACAACCACUGGCAUUCGUACUACGUACAUGUAAACCAUGCACAUGAGCACAAGACGUUGGUUUUAGCAUCCUGAAAGAAGUAACUACUAUUGAAUCAGUCAAGUAACUUCUCAAGGUUCAAAAUCUGCUAACCUUAGCCCCACGAGGUGGUGUUCCAGGUCGAGAACCAUUGCUGCCAUAUGCAACAAAUUUUUGUUUCUUUUCUGCUGGUUUAAGGAUUUGAAACGAGCACAAGAGAGAAUCAUCUACACUCAUCAUUGCACCCGCAUUAUCAAAUUCACCACAAUAAUUUGGUGCAGAGAAGAUAGUGACCAGUUGGCGCUUAGCGAAAAACUCGUAACCAUCCUCCACAACCUGUGCAUGGGACAUCCCGCACAGAUCAGCAUUAUGUACAAAGAAUCUAACCUACAGCAGCUGAAGAGAUCUACCAACAGCAUGAAAAGACAACUGGUCAAACUAAGUCUGUACGAAUUCAAGACUCUAAAAGCAACUCCACACAUGCAACUUUCUGAACUCAUGAAUGCAACACACCAACUUCAAAGUUAAGUGCAACAAAGUGCAAAAAUAAAUCACAUCCUCCGAAAUGUUGAAAUAGAAAUUUAAAGGCUACCAGAUUUAAAGAAUGCAUCACAGUACUUGAUGGGCUCGACAGAUGAGAUCCAAGUCAUGUUUUUGUAAGAACUCUGAGACUGUGUCUGGACCAAAUGUAAAAGAGACACCUCGGUCAUUGUCUCCCCAUCUAGCCACAUCUUUAUCAGGGUCCGCCCAUAGAAGGUCACACAACAAGCCUGAAUCAGGAACAUCUGUAGGGCGUGCUAUCUUCUUAAUCUGGUCCAAGUUCUUAAGUUCUGGAGAAAGGCCUCCAUGCAUGCAAAGAAUUUUCUCAUCAAUCAAGGCAGCCACGGGCAGGCAGUUGAAACAAUCCGUGAACGUCUUCCACAGCCGUACGUUAAAACGACGUUUACAUUCAUCGAAGAAGCCGUAAAUUCGGUUGAUUGAUGCACAUUCAUGGUUACCUCUUAACAAAAAGAAAUUCUCUGGGUAUUUGAUUUUAUAUGCCAAGAGGAGACAGAUGGUUUCUAGACUCUGUUUUCCUCUGUCAACAUAGUCUCCUAAGAACAAGUAAUUUGCAUCAGGUGGAAAGCCACCAUAUUCAAACAACCUCAAAAGGUCAGAGUAUUGACCAUGGAUAUCACCUGCAGCAUAAGAACGGCGCUUAUCAGCCAAUACUUCGAGGAACAGCAUGAAACACAAAACGACCAGGAGCUUCUCAAAGAGACUAGAUUCGUCGCAGCCAAUUAAUAAAUUCAGCAAUUGCUUUGCAAUAUGCUCAUCAACUUACCUCAUACAUACGAUUAUAAACAGGAAAUUAUCUAUUCUCUGAGUAUUCUAAUGUUUUGUAAUUUGAGAUAUUGUGAGGAAUCAAGCCAGAGUGAUAUAAUCUUCUUGUCAUAUGUAAGACCAGUAUUCUCUUGAUGUCAUGCGUGAGACUGGUAUAUUGUUCCUAUGCCUUAACUGCGUAAGCAAGAAAAUGCGUACGAAGAACAUCUAUAUUCAACUAUCAUGUUCACCGGUGUCUGCAUGCUACAAAAUGAACUCAGUGUAGGUUGAGGGGCGUACCACAGAUCUUAAUUGGGGCCUCCAGCUCAAGCAGAUUAGGCUGGGACAAAAAUAUGUCCUUGGAUGCAACGCAAAGCUGGCGAAUUUCAGCCUCUGAAAGCUGCACUUGCUUGCCCGGCCGCUCCGUCCGCACAUCGAGCAGUCGCCCUAUAAUGUCAUUUAAUACCGCGCUAUCCAUCCCCCCUCUCUAUCACUUCUCCCAAAUUUUAAAGACCUCGCCUUCUCCGCAUUCACCUUAGGUAGACUAAUUCGGGCAGACACUACUGGACCAGACUCUGCACGACAAAGAUGGAUAAUCGUUAAAAAAACCAACCAUUCAGGCACAUUAAGGCCUACUACAUCCCAGGAACACACAUUGAAAAAGCAACAACUUGUCUACCAGAAGCGACGGUGAAGAAUAUACAAGUGGGAGAACGUUUGUUAAUACCUGCACUACGCACAGAGAUUCGACUGCCUAUUCUACGUGAUAAAACCACGAUACAUUUACAACGACAUGGAGGUCGCAUGAGCCUUCCUGAACUAGACGACAUUACAAUAACCAACGAAUAAUAUUAAGAAUUGGGCGAUAUAGGGUGCGUACAACACGACAGACGCAUUGGAAUUAGAUCACUCUACAUUCUGAUAAUCGAUCGAAACUAAAAGAGAACAGGUUUGAAAUGACAAUCGACGAAUGGUAGCUACAUUUAUGUGCGGCACGAUGUUAGGAUUUGACAUAAAUAAAACUUCUAAAAACCAAUCAGAAUAAAAGAUCCCAAUGGUCAACGCGUAUUUCAUUUCUAUAAAACCUCUACAGAAAUACACAAAUGCAUGAGAAGAAAGAAAACUUAAAUAACUCCGCAGGUCAAGUUUUAUCAUGACUAAUAGGUUGUACCCUUUACAUUAUGAGCCCAUUCAACCAUCUUUCGCGAAGAUGAUGAUGUCAUGUGAAUUAUGCUUGAAAAGACCUAUGGGAAAGAGGUAGGCGGGAAAGAAGUCCAAGGAUGUUACAGCCGCCAACAGUAGGGAUGUCUCCAAAACCCGGCCGCCACUAGAGACAAGUGAAUGUUGAGGAGUGGUUAGAAUGGAAGACAACGUGGAAAUCCCAGCAUAACUUUGGAGGAUAGGAAUACAGAAGUCAGGGUGGCAUCAGACCCAGUGAAGUAAAGAACAGGCUUGCAGCGGGAACAGCUUCGCAAAAGCGUCAGGCAAUUCGAGUUCAAAAGUCGGGAAAUUAUAAUGGUAGUUUUUUACAUGGAAAAUUGGAGGUUGUCGGACACAGUUCAAAUGCCGAGCAACAGUGCCCACCCAUUAAGACGUCCUCAAAAACAAAAACAAGAACAACAAAAAAAAAUAAAGAAAAAAAAUAAAAGAAAAAAAAAGGGAUCAUAACAAUGGCACAACUGUGUGAUUUUUUUUAAAAAUAAAUUCAGAAUUACAACAUAUCCCACUCAAGGAUAGGAGCACCCAACACAACUAACUACUGACUUAAACUCAAGCACAGUGGAGAAACUUUCAUAAACUGCAUGUACUCAUCGAAGUUCACAUGACGAAACACCGCUGAGCGGAGUCCGCAGAGAAUAAAAUUUUUAGAACAAUUAAAAGAACAAAAACAAAAAAGUGCUCUAGAGCUUCGCAUCCCUAUUUAUUGCGAUACUGAUGCUAAACCACAGAUUCAACUUUACGCGUUUCUCAAUAUCGCUACCAUAAGAAUUAUACUCGGUCCCAUGGUUAGACUAAAAGAUCGUGAGCGCAUCCACACCUGCAACACACGAAGCGAAAAACCGAAACUAAAGAAAAAAUAACUACCCACAGUCCUUCCAGCCAACCACCACACAAGUACCCCUAAUCCUCACGACCCUGUGCAAAUUCCCUGCUUCAAAACCACUUCAGGCUCCUAUGGUCGCCAACGAAGAAUGUUGAUCUCAACAACGGCCACAGCGGCAGCGCGCGAAAAACGCCAUCCAAAAUCUAGAACACAGCCACGCGACGACCUCGACAUGAGCCCCGUGGGGGCUUGUACACACACGAACAGGGAAAACAGUCGGUGCAGGAAAAAAACUUACGACGUGGUAGGGUAGACGGCGAGAGAGAGACGGCAGAGGGGCAAUUGAAGUGCGGUAGAAGUGGGAAGUAGAAGAGAGGAAUGAAUGAAUGAAUGAGAAGACGAAGAAGAAGAGCGCGGAAGAGGAGGGGGUGGCCGUGGAAGCAAGCAAGGACGGAAGCCAAGCAGAGGCGAGGGGGAGGGUUUUGUUGUUGCUGCUGUUGCUGUUGCUGUUGUUGUCGUUGUUGUUGUUGCUGUUGCUCCCCGACCAGGAUUGAUUUGCAUGCAUCGGCGAUGUCGAGAUCGCCACUGCAUCACAAAUGAGAAGACACACAAAUCCCUCCCCAAAUCCCUCCCUCCUCCGCUGCAGCAGAGCAGCCCUUCGAUCCUCCCCCUCCCUUGUCUACUACUCCCACUACUCCCACUACUCCCGUCCCUCCCUCCCUCCCCAAUAUCGCCGCCCCUCGUACAUCCCUCGUGCUGUUCCUCCUCGGGACAUGUGCCCCCACCACGUGGUAAUCCGACGUGGACUUUGUUGAACCCCCCCUCCCCCCCUUCAUCUGGUGGUGCGAGAGACUUGGCACCCCCCCCUCAUCAAUCUAUGUCUCUGUCUCUCUCCAAGGCACGGCUUUGACUGACUGACUCCCGUGAGCGUUGAUGCUGGUCCUGCUGAUCCAUGACCGUGGUGGGUGGUGGGUGAGGGGUGGUGUUUCCUCCUUACUACUUACUACUCACUCAAUUCAACUCAACUCACUCACACACUAACUCUCCCUAUUGCUGCUGCUUUUUCAUACUCUCUCUGUUGGACAUGGCUUUCUUUCUACCCUUCUUUCCUGUUGCUUUGUGAGAAUACGUUACAAACUCUUUUUUUUAUCACUUUAUAUGUGUUUUUGGAUCCAGGACCUUUGGAUAUGGUUAAUAACUAUUGGGAUCAUUUUGUUAUUAUUAUUAUUAUUAUUGAAUUAAAUAUCACAAGAUUCUUCGUAAUUGAUUCAUAAGAUGCUUCAUUUUUUCAUAUUUACUCAUCAAAAUUUAAAUUCAAAAUUUGAUAUCCUAUUGUGUUGCUAAAAAUAAAUACUGUUCCAUAUCAAGGACUUUACAACAAAUCUUAUGAGAUUGUUACAAGAUUUUUCAAAUUGUAUUAUUGAGGUAAGUCUAAUAAGAGGAGACUGUAAAUAGAAUUCGAUAUUAAUUUUAAAAUUCAAUAAAUCUCCCAAAAAUAAUCUCUGGAUAUUUGAAUACUUUUUCAUAUCUAAAAAUCUCGUCAUUGAUUUUUAAUUUUUUUUAAAUCAAAAUUCCAACAACAAAAAUUCUCACUCAAGGUUACAUUUGCAAUCACUAAUCAUUGUAAAAACAUAUAUCCAUUUCUGAGUGCAGUCCUCUUCCAUGUAGUUCCAUAAAAAAUUAAAAAAUUAAACAAGCUUUAUUCCAAUCAGAGCAAAACUAGAAACGACACAAUGAAAAGAAUGUGGCAGAAAAUGCUACAGAAAUAGUAGGAAAUGGACCAGGGCUGCAUGCGGGGCUGCUGCUCCGCACUCCCAUGUUGUUGUUGUUGUUUGUGGCUGCUUCAUUUUGCGCUGCUGCUGCUGCCACUACAACUGCCUCUUGAGUUGCAGUUGACACGUUGCUGCUGCGUCUGUCUCCUCCUCCCAGCAUGCAUCUCUCAUGCUAUACUAUGCCAUGCCACUCCAGGGAAGCAGCAGCAGCUGGAGGGCCCCUGAUCGGCAGACCCCAGAGUGUGGAUGAGCAUCAACUGACCCAGUUUUCCAAUGCUUGUGUAACUAGCAAUUAGUGAACUUAGGUCUUGGCCGGCCAUCACAGGGAUGAUCUGUACAUAUCCUAGACACCGAUCUUAAUCUUGCUGAAAUCUGCGCAGUUUCUUCCUUCGAUGCAAUUAAGACGAAGAGGCAAGUUAGCAAAUCUGUCUCGUUGGGCGAAAAUGAAAUGUUCUCUAAAAGGAGCACAGUAAAGGUACCUGUCGGCAGAUCCGGCUACCACAGAUUUGCUUCUUGAAGCUGCCAGUUUUCAACCAGCUAUUUGGAGAGUUUUACACUCCCAAGAGAGAAAUAAGCCGACUGGAUCCCCACAGCAUUGCACAUAGAACCCAGCUGGGAAAGGUGGAGAAGGUCUUGUUCAAUUUAAAAGUGAAUUACAAAAAGCUAUACAAACUGAUUCGUCACUACCAUGGAUCAGGAGGCAGUUCAGAGGAGCCGAACUGGGUGCCUGACGUUCCUAACCAGGCUUGCUCCGCGAGAAUUAAGCGUAAGCGCUCUAAAAGACGUUCUAAUGCGACAUCUUCUUUCAUCUUCAGUGGACUUAGUGCAGCUGGUACUGCACUGUUAGCCUGCACAUACAACUGACAACUCAAAAACAUUGGCCACCACAGAAACAUUGAUUUAAGGAAACGGUGAAAUAUAACAACCAAGGCAAUGGUUCGCAGAGCAAUCAAUGUUUGUCUAAAAUGUGGGUAGACGUUCUGGUGCUUUACCAAAGAAGUUGAAUACGCGUUGAGAUACUCAAAUGACCGCCCGUACAGCCCAGCAUGGAAGAGCAGCAUGCCAUAAUCUCUCAGCUCUUGUUCGUCUACCCCUAGCAAUACAAGCCUCUCCGAGGCUGCAUGACAAACAAAAAGAACAAGGAGAAGAUUCAUAAGAAUUCAAUAUCUUAAAAGGAUAGUGUUAACGUGAAAUUCAUCUUCCACAGGAAUCUCUUAGUAGCCUCACCAGCAAGAGCCCGGCGAAGAUCGCCAAAAUUAGUAGAUGUCCAAAUGCCGCGCUGCAGUCUCAACUGAGCUGAACGUGCUCUAGCUAAUUCUGCUCCGCUGGACACAACAGCGCAAAUGAACAGCCACGAUGAGUGGCAGAUACACUCGAAACAAACAAUUGCAGCAAGUGUCCAUGCUGAGCAUGCAACAACUAUUUUCUAGAAACACAUGACAAGCCACUGUUGAACCAAGACUCACCCACUACUGUGAGGAGCAUGAAACAGGCUAUCAAAGGCACUGGCAGAGGCAGUCAUUCCAAUGCCUCGGCUCGCAGCAGUGGCUGCUUGCAAAAACCCACUCCCUUCUCCUAUGGUUCCAUUUUCUCGCCAUGGCCAGUACAACUGCUUCAGAGAUCUGAGCACCUGAAACACAAACCAGGACUUCGAUGAGUUGAAGUUUUUUAAGAGCUACCAGUGCCAGCACAAUCAUUUGUCGAUGAAUUAUGGGAUACCUCCACCAAAAGCAACUCGGGAGUGAAUAGCAGCGUUUGUUCGUCUCCCCUCUUGGUAUCUGCAAUCGAUAGAAUGCACUGUCAGAGCCUAUCGCUUAACAACAUCGUGCAAAAUCAUGAGCUUCGGGCAAGGGAAAGCAGAGAGUGCGGAAUCUAACCCGCAACAUUGCUCACUUAGACGAUAGAACUCAGACUAUCUAAACUCAUCCACGCAGGCAUCACAUUACCAUCCUGGGUAGCAACUCGAGGACGCGGAAAAUCAUUCAGAUUAGUUGGGAGCUCCAUGUCAACGGAGAAAUCAAUAACCCCAAUCUGCUGCAGUCUCUUAAUCAAUUCGCUGUAAAUCAGGGCGAGCAUUACAGGAGUGCCGAGCCGAGUGGUCAACACCUAUUCGUUUCAACAACACAAUUUCAACAAAAAUGAGUUUCAAAGACAGAAGUAGCAAACAAGGACGUCUGGCAAUUAGAUUUUAUCUAGAGUCUCGAGAAUAUUAAUUUGAGACAAAGGUAAGGGCCAUAAGAAACUCACCGUAUUUAAAUAGAACACCCUGGCAUCCACGAUAUUGUGCAAAGACUUGGUCCUUUUGAAACCCUAAACAACACCAGCAUUUAUCAGUGCGUUUGUCGAGAUUGCAGUAACAUGUGGAUAAUUCUCGGCACACAACAUAAGUAAAACGGAUAGAGAACCAAUCAUGUAAUGUAGAUUGCUUACCUGGUAUCCGAACAAAUACAAGUCCAAAGCCUCAAAAACAGUAUACGGAUCACUCGCAUGCUGACGAGGAAGAUAGUGGCCAGCAAAUUCUACCGCCAUUGCUUGGAGACGAUUGAGAUAAGCAUCUACAGGCAGCGGAACUGGGGAAUGAGAGACAAGAGCGUCGUCUUCUGCCGCAAUUUCCAGAGCAGCGCGAGCAAGGUCUACAGAGCCUUCUGGCUUGCCGGAGCCAACUUCCUCCGAAGCUGCUCGAAGGUUCGCUAUCUCCUCCGCAAAGUUUCUGCGUGCAACCUGCUUUCCAGAUAUGUUUAACCACGCGAGGCUGCCAUUAUCAUAUCAAAUUCAAAUAGACAAUUAGGUCUACACGUUUCCAACAUACUGCAACCUAUCUUGGUGUCGAGGAAAGAAAAGCUGUACUUGUGCGUGUGAAGUUUCAAUGCCCGCCUGAUCCAUGAGAUAAUGCAGCCACGACGUUCCUACCGCACCAUCACAAUCUUUGUCACCUCCUUCGCCAGUGUCCUCAUUGAACACCGUACAAAAGCAUUUUCCCUUACAAUUUGGUGCUUUCUUGGCACAAAAUGGAGACGACGACGGAGCACUAGUGUCAGAAUGGCGCAACGCUCUGUUCCGCUUCCACCUGCUCAUUCCGUCCGCUGAGCUAGGUUUAAGAGUGGUGGCGGCUCCAAAACAUGGUAAACACUGAAGACCCUGAGAGUUGAUCAUUCUGUGCUCUCCAUGACCAAUGUUCUGCGAAGGGCAUGAUGACGUGAACUGAAGACUUGGCUGCAAAACAGCCAUCCCUGCACCUACUUCUCCCUCUGCGCGCGUCGAAUGAAUCCCUUGACAACAAUCACCCCGCACAGAUUCAACAAAAACCCUGAAUUCAGCAGAACUUCACGACAUUCAGUCCAGCUUAAUAGGACGCUUGAACCUGCGGUGUACUGUUUGCUUUCUUAAGUAGUCGCUCCACAAACACUCGUGAAACGUUCGCAGUUCACUUCUCCGUGACCGUCCAAGCCAAUUCAAUUUUCUAUCCUUUUCCGCAACCCAUUAGCUGUAACUAUAUCAAUUACGCAUAUGUGACCCCCAGAUUAGUAUCAAUUCGACUAGAAUCCUCCGUGAUUUCGUGCCUUCUCUCUCACACUCGUUAUUGAACUCAAGUUCACCGGAUAAACAAAUCACUACGCUCCAAAGUAAGCGGAUAUGUGAUCUGACUACCACUUUCUCUACUCCCACAGGCAGCCUUCAUGAAGAUUUCUAAAUUAUAGUCAUUGGCUUACGAAUUCCUAAUUCUGCUAAAUGAGGAGCAAUAAAUUGUGGGCGACCCUUCAAACUCCUGAUGAUGCGACGUUGCUUCUUGUACCAAAACCUGGAGGAUGCAUCCAUUCACAUCUCAUUCGUUUUUCUACUUCACAAUCUUCUCAUUAAAUUGUCUCGAAAUCAAGACGGAAUGUCAAACGACGAUAAUUCAAACCCUCGCAAACCUCCAACACACACAUGGGUCUGUUUCUCUUGUUUCGGAACUAGAAACCCCUCUCUCCUUAACUCGACGCUUGUAACCACAAGCCAAUAGAGGAUCGGAAAAGCGCGAGGAGGCUGUGGCCAGUCUCGUGAUUAAAAAUCACAUCCUCAUUUGGUUUCCUCAGCAUCAAUUCUUCUCUUUCCAAGAGUGCAGACCUACAUACCAGCACAACCCUCCGUUGAAUCUUGCUAAAGACGCAGGCUUCAUCCUCCAAUUCAGAUUGGCUUCACGACGGCAACCAUUAUUCCGAGAUUACUUAGAACCCGCGUUGAAUCCAGUCGCUCGAAAGUAGGGCUUCAAAACUAUGCAAGUGGAAUCUCAAUAGAUUUGGCACCUGGGAGUUAUCAUUGGACCUGGCGUGGCCACAUGACAGGUGAGAGCUGCCGGGAUUCACCGCCACAGCCACUAAUCCUGGUGGCCAAUUUCCACGUGGUCACCUUACGGAGAUUCCAUUGGACAAGUGGAGGAAGGACAACAUCUAAUGUUCAUCUCAUCGAGGAUGUGAGGAGUGGUUUCUGUUCACCAGACUCCCCAACAGGCCAAUUCUGCACUAUGUGGUGGCAUGAUCGUAAGUGCGGUAGGAAGACUACGAAAAUCGAAAUUGCCGCCUCGGACUGGGAAGAAAUUCAACCGGAACCGGACGAAGAUGUGCAUCGCUUUCCAUAAUCAAUCCUUUGACUGCUGCUUUCACAGAAAGUUUCAAUUCAGGUUUUUGAUAUUGAGCUCGGCUGAUUUCACAGAAACUGUCGGUCCUCGUUCGUUGCUUGCCACUGAUGCACCUCCGAGCAUUACUUUAGAUAAGCAAGUAGAUGUUACCAACGUUUUGAUGGUUGGCAUGCAAGAGUUAGGCUGAGAUGGAGUACAGCAUCUCAUCUGCGACCAUCUUGUUCAUAGAGGUGACUCAAGUGGUGCCCGCAGUGUACAACAGAAUCUGUCAAUGGCUAGACAUCUUCAGCAGCGCUUCUGACAACUAGAGGUAAAAUUUUGACGCCCCAAAUCGCGUGGGACCGCACUUGGGGCUCAGAACUUGAUUCGCAUGUGAAAGUCUGUGAGGAAGGAGCUGUCAGACCCUACAAUGCAAUCAUCACUCUACUUGGAAAUGGCGAAGAAUUUUAUCUUAAUCAAACACGAAAUCAAGUCUCCUCUUUCUCUCUCUCGCCGUUCUAAUAUUUCUCUAGGUCGAGCUAACCUUGGCCCUUACCUGAGACUACUCCCCACUGUCCCAGCAUUGCUUCCUUCAACGCCUAAAGCUAAGUCGUCAUGAAAAGAAGUCCUGCCACCUGUUUCUCCAGACGCCCAAUUGCCUUCUCCUGCAUCCCAAAGCCCUCUAUCUCAUAACUUUGGGCACGGUCUCGAUCUCGAUCCCGUUCUUGGUCUUGUCCGUUUCCUGGACCUAAGACUGAUGAAGAUCCUCCAUAAACAUGAGUGGAUGAGUUGUGGGCACUUGCUGUUGGUGUCGAUGUGGAUGCAGACAUUGCUGUGGUAGCUGCUGCAGUUCGAGCCUCAGCAACCACUUCAAUUCAGAAGUUGAAUAUUCACUGCAAAACUCAUUUCCAAACUAAAAGUGAUCAGAUAGAGCAUUGUAACCAAAUCAAAGGCAGAGAGUGUACUUCCAGCGUUAAACAGCAUAAGACAUUGUUAUCUCCAUUGGAACAAAUUUAAACAAUAGAAAUGGUUUGCAGCUACAAGGCCAAACUGAUGAUGACAGGGACGCACAAAAUCAUCAAACCAUACUUGCAGGAAAGUCUCUCGAAAUGCUAAGCAUAUCAGAUACCUCUAUUCGAUUAGGAUCUGUCUCAUUUGCAUGUACCCUGAUUUAUGUAAUGGCUUGUAAAUAUAGGUAGCUGAGACACACUUGAUGUAAAACAAAUCUAGCCACUGAAAAUGCAACACACCGGUCAUUACCCUGGUUCAAGUUAUAUUAAUACAAUUUCAGAGGUUUCACUUGGGCGAAACUACAUGAUUCCACACCUAGGCGAUUAUCACUGUUAGCAAUGGCGCAAGUGAGCCUGUACACAAGUCUAUCAGCACACAGCCUGAUUUCUGUUGCAACACAGAACCCAGAGGAUCACCAGCUAGAAAAAGUAAUUAAGAAGCUAAAAAAAUCGGGGUUGAAUUGUGAGCAGCCACGGGGACAACCUCAUAGAAGACGUGGAGAAUGAGUCGAAAGGUAUCCAGUGUAGGCAUCAAACGUAUCGACCUACGUUCAUCAGUGGCGCCCAACCUUUAAUAUGUUUGACGAUGUGAAAAUAAAGUUGAUCAGCCAAUGCAGAGACACACAAACAGUGGCAGCCUGCAGAUUUGACGGCUGAUAAUAAAUGAUAAACCUUAAUCCACGAGAGUUGGAUAAUACUCAGCAUUGUCGAGCCUCACAGAAAUCUCAAUAAAUUACUCACUUUCAAGUCCCAUUCCCUAAAACAGCUAAUAGCAGAAUCACAAGAGGCUGCAAGUCCAAUUUGCAUAAAAGUCUAGAAUCCUGCACAUGAAAUCUCUAAACUGUGAUUCAUGUGCAUCUCGGUGAAUUUCGUGCACCAACGCCAUUAGCUAAAACUUCCAACUUGAAAACCGUAGUAAAGAAUUUGCAAAAGCUGAAACGUUUGGUAGUCUGAAGAACUAUUGAAUCUAUUAGCUAUGAAUCAUCACAAUAUAACACAUGACCAAUGUAAAUAUUGUAGAGAAACUCAUGCAGCCAAUGAGGAGGGAUCAAAUUCCCAAAACAUUCACUGUCGCUGUCACAAAGGAAAGAAUUCAAGACUAAAACUGACAGCCAUAAUCCUGAUGAGUUAAAGUUAACGAUGUUGCCGAAAUGAUUCAUUGGUUCACAAAGGUCAACGAUAUCUGUUAUUUAAUUAAAAAAUUUGAAGAAAGAAGCUAGGUUGAUUUUGACUGAUUCUUCAUCUGUUUCAUUGAUAACUGCAGAUUUUUUGUUGUCUCUACAGGGUCCCAUCCUGCCAAUCAGUGAGGCAUCCGAUGUACUUCGACCUGAAGCCAUCACAUUGGCAAGGUUCAUAAAAGAACAGCAAGCAUGGAUGCUUCUCAGAAAACAAGCCUCAUACCACGACAUAAAACAAUAAUUCAAUAAUGGAAAGAGAAAACGGAAAUACUUAAAAGAUAAUCAAAGACGUUAAACAUCUGCAACUAGAAAUAAAAUAUAAUAUAAUAAAAUAACGAAAAUAAACAAAACUUAAUACAUCAAACAACUCACCUUGCCGACCCAAACAAUGAGAAUAAUGGAUAAAGUGGUCCAAUUUCGAUCGUCAAAAAACGGCCACAAUUGGAACUGUAAGAUCCCCUUGCUACUAUGAGCCUGCAUUGCCGUGAGACCAAUUCUUUCUUAAGUGAAUAUGGUCAACGAAAACCACAUAUAAAUUGUGCAUCCGUAAUGACAUAGAAUACAAUAUUUAAAAGACGAAUGGACUGAUAGUACCUCCAUUUUCCGUAAAACAGGAGACAACCGAAUUGAAGUAUCUUGAAUUAGCCCCAUUUCGAGACAAGGGAAUCAAUCAGAACCACUGCCUACCACUCAUUCGGAAGUUCAACGCACUAAAAUUACGUAUCAAUUCUUCGCUAUCUAAGAAAAAGUUUGCCACGUCAAUAAACAUACUAAGAAGCAAAAACUGACAAGAAAGAAAAAAGAAAAGAAAAGAAGGAAAAAGCAAGCACACCAAAUCACACCUGCAGCUGUACGUCAUGAGGUUCCUUGCUUCGAGCAAUGAUUUGGGUUAGGAAAUUGUCCACAACAGGCUGUAACCCUAUCUUGAGACCCUGAACUGGUAUAGAGUUGCGAGAAAUAUGUAGAGUCACAAAGGCAGACUGCUUUUAAGAAUCGGGACUUCAGAUUUUUAAGAAUAGAGACUUUAGAUUUUGAAUGUGUCAUAAUCUCUUGCCAGCAUAUGAAAAACUUAUUCUUCAUGUUGAGAAUGUUUAGAAAGAAGCAAGAGUAGUAGUAAGUAAUAUACACACAAACACAAGAGAGUUUCUAAGGAGAGAGAGAGAGCUUCACACAAAAAUCUAUUGAUCUGCUUGUGUCUCAUAUACAAGAGGAGAAGGGGAGAGGAUAAACACUUCUUCUCUACUACAUUCCAAAUACUAUAACUAUAGUAUUUAUUGUAGACUAUAGUAAAUAUCAUGGAGAGCACUAGCUACAUUUAAUGCUCUCAACACUCCUCCUUGCUCAUCAUAAUAUUUACAUAAUAUAAAAUUUGUAUAGAAUUAUGAUCUAUACUUUUUUGUAAUCUUGCAAGAUCAAGAAUUGUUGCUUCAUUAAAAUCUUAUUUAAGAAAACCUUAUUAUAUUUAAGGGCAAAGCCAUAGAUGACAAAAAAUGAGUACAACAUCAUUUUUCUUAAUUAUUUAAAGAGUUCAUUAACUUUCUUAUUCAAGAAAAGCAAGUCACCACAUACCAAUGCCAUAAGUAAGUCGGCAAUAGUUGUACAAUGAGAGAGCUUUGGUGAAGAGAUCAACAAGAUUAUCUGUAGAUUCAUUUUUUUUUAAAUUAUAAGUGCUUGAUUAGUAAUCAAGUCGUGGAUAUAACUAAAAUACUUUGGAUCAAUACACUUUGUCUUGUCGCAUUUCAUGAAACCAACUUGCAUCUGUGCAACACAAGCACUAUUGUCUUCAUGCAAGAUAGUUGGAGAAUCAUCAUAUGAAAAUCCACAUGUUGUUUGAAUGAAUUAAUCAAUUGAUCUCAAUCAAAUACAUUCUUGAGAUGCUUCAUGUAAGGCAAUAAGUUCUGCAUGGUUGGAUGAAGUUGCAGUUAUAGUUUAUUUCACUGAUUUCCAUGAUAUUGCAACUCUAUGUCUUAAAAUUACAUAUCCUAUUUGAGAUUUAGCUAUAGCAUUAUCAGAUUUAUAUCUCCCAUCAUAAUAUCCAACCAAUUUUAGAUCUGCAGAUUGUGUUUAGUAUAAUUCCAAAUCUUUAGUACCUUUUAAAUAAUGUAAUAAAUAUUGAUCUCUCAAUAUUUCAUCCUCCUUCUCGCAUAGAUGAUAUGGAUCAUGACCAUCACAACCACAUCUAACCAUUGGUGUGGACAAUGGAUAAGUAUCAAUCAUAUUGAAUCUCUGUAAGAUUUAUGUAAUACACGUUAGUUGGUAGAGAAAAAUACUACCAUAUGUGAGAUGCAUAAUUUGAAGACCAAUGCAGAAAGUUGUUUUUCCUAGUAUUUUCAUCUCAAAUUCACAUAUAAGUAGAUUAGUAGCUGUAACACAUGGAGAUUUAGUACCCACUAGGUUAAGAUCAUCAACAUAUACAAUGAUGAUCACAAAAUCAAUUUUAUUUUGUUUGAUAAACAAACAAGGGGUUAGUGGAUCACUUACAAACUUCUAUGUAAUUAAAUAAUCUUGAAGACAUUGAUACCACAUGUGCCCGGAUUAUUUUAAACCAUACAAGGCCUUAUAUAAUUUAAUACCACAAUAUCGUCCUAAAGUAGGUCCAUUUGGAGUUCUUAUUUCUAAGUUAGGUAGAACUUUCAUAUAAAUAUUUCCAUCAAGAGAACUAUAUAGACAUGCACUUACCACAUCCAUCAGAUUCAUUUCAAGGGUGAUAUAAAUUGCCAUUCUAAUAAUAUAUCAAAAUGUAAUUAAAUCCAUGACUAGAGAAUAUGUGGAUUCAUAAUCAAUGCCAAAUUAUUAAGUAAAUCCUUAAGUAACAAGAUGAGCUUUAUAGUGGGUUAUUUGACCGUGAGCAUUUUGCUUGCAUAUUAAUACCAUCUUAUAUUCUACAAGGCAAGAUGUAAGAGUGUCUACAAUUGGACCAAAAACUUUCUUCUUAUGCAAAGAGGUAUACUCCUCCUCAAUAGCAGUUUUCUAUUUUGACUAAUCAGAGCAACGCAUUGCUUCUUCAAUGGUUUGAGGUUCAGGAUCAUCUUCCUCGUAAGAAAGGGCUUCUAUAAUCAUACAUACAAAUGAUUCAUCUACUGUAAUAGAUGGUCUGUCCCAAAUAUCGUCUGUAGCACAAUACAAAAUAGAUAAUUCUUUAUUCAACUUGUUCUUAUCCCUUCCAAUUCCAAGAUUGUUUUUCAUAGGAAUUGAAGGUACAUUAUGCAUAGAUAUAUCAUCAUGAAUUGGUGGUUCUCUAGAAUGAGUGGAAAUUUCUUGAGAAAUAAUACGAGAAUUAGUCAAUAUUAUAGCUUUCUUCUUACGUAAUUGCUUAUCUAGUCUACGAGUUCUUUUAGUUGUUGUUGUUAUAACUUGAGGUAUUGUAGUCAAUAGGACUACAAUCUGAGCAGGUGCAUUCUGAGCCUCAUUAAUAGGAACUCUUUUAAUUCUAGGUACAUCAUUGAAGCCAUCAAGUAUUUUAUCUAUGAUUCGUUUUAGAUACAAAAUCUUAGCAAUUUCAAUUUCAGGCAAAGAUGUCCUAAGAUCGAGAUUCAUUGUAAACAUUUUUGGUGCUUCAAAUACAAGUAAUUUAUUUCUUUGUUGAUUAGAUACUCUUCCUUGAAGAGAUGGGAAUACAUUCUCUUCAAAACAACAAUUUUGUAAACGUGCACGUAAUAAUGUGUUAGUUGAUGGAUCAACAAUACGAAUAAUGCUUGGUGAAUCAAAACCAAUAUAUAUGCCUUCUUGUUGAUGAGUUCCAAUGGUAUGCCAUUGAUGUUCUGGUAUUGGAAUCCAAGCACAAUAACCAAAUAUUCGUAAGUGAGAUACAUUUAGAAUACAACCCAAAAUGAGCUCAUGUGGUGAAAUAAUUCCAAGUGAAGAAUGGGAGAGGUGUAUUAAUACUAUAGCAUGUAAAAUUGAAUGACUCUACAUAGAUGCAAGUAAAUUUAUGUGAAGGAGGAGUGGUUGGAUAAUGAGUUGUAUAUACUUUAUAAAUGACUCUGUAAGUCCAUUUUGAGCAUGUUCAUAUGGAACACAAUAUGUCAACUCAAUUCCUCUUGCAGUACAAUAGUCUUAAAAAGGCUUUGAUGCAAAUUCUUUUGCAUUAUCCAUACACAAUGUUUUUAUAGGAUAAUCAAGAAAAUGUGCUUGAAAAUGAAUAAGCAUAGAUAUAAGAUUGACAAAUACCAUAUUUUAAGUUGAUAAUAAUGAAACAUGUGAUUGUUUAUCUGAUGCAUCAACAAAGACCAAAAAAUAACAAAAUAGUCAUGAUAUUAGAUUAAUAGUACCACAAAUAUUACCAUACAAUCUUUCAAGCAUUGGUCGUAAUUCUUGUGGGAUUUUCCAAAUUGAAGGCUGAAUAAUCAUCUUACCUUAUAUGCAUGCACGACAUAAUUCCAUAGAGUGUAGAACUGCAGGCUUUAAAUUGUGUCCAGUUAUACAUCGAAUAAUCUUUCUAAAUAAUGUAGAUCUUGGAUGUCCUAAUCUUCCAUACCAGAGAAAAGCAAGACUCUCUAUAAUAGAUGAUGCAAAAUUAAAUAUAAUGGGAGGCCAAAUUACAAUUUGGUGUAAACCAUUUUUUGUAGCAAAAGCCUUUUCAACAACUUUAUGGUUCUUUGCAAGAACCAAAAUCUCUUUUCUAUUUAAAAUGGCAGUCGAGAGGUGAUAACCAUUGAUAUGCACAUCUCAAUAGCUAAUCAGACUCCAAGGUGCUGAGGGUGCAAACAUCGCAUGUUUUCAUUUUAUGAUGGAACUUGCAAGUAAUUUUAUCAUCGUUGUUCCUUCUUGGAAACAAAAUGUAUUUGCUUCAGCAAUAGUCAUCAUAUUUUUAGUUUGCCAAGUUGAAGAUUUUUUAUUAAAAAAUUAUCUGUUUCAUAAGAUAGUAUGUGAUGUUGCAGAAUCAAUGAACGCAUUAUUUGAUUUAUCAUUAGAGGUUUUGUCAUUCAUAUAAGCCUGUAAAUCAUCAACACCAAUUGAAUCCAUAGACACAUCCAUAGUAUGAACUUCACAAGUAUCAUCUUGUAGUUUCUUAUUUUCUUGGAAUAUUUUAAUAAAAUAUUUUGAAAUACAACACGCAUGUACUAAAUGUCCAAUCAUUCCACAUUUAUGGCAAAAACACAUCUCUAAUUUUUGUUUUCUAUUACAAUUAAUAGUAGAAUGUUUAUUCUUUCUAUAUGGGUAGAAAUGGUCAUCACAAUGACUACUCUAAUGCUUAUGAACUCGUUUCCCAUGUUUAUAUAAUUUUUUCUUAGACUUUGAAAUAUUAAGUGCAUGAGAUUUUGGAACUAUGGUUCCAAUAGGACAAGCUUCUGCAUUGCACAAGAGUAGCUCAUUUUGCUUCUCCACAAGAAGUAGAUAGGAUAUGAGAUCAAAAUGACUCUGAAAUUUCAUGUUCUUAUAUUGUUGUGCAAGUACAAUAGAUACAAGAAGAAAUGUAGAGAGAGUUUUCUCAAUCAUUAUUUCUUUGGAGAUGCUUUGUCCACAUAAUCGUAAUUGUGAGACAAAACUAUACAUUUCACUAUUGAAAGCAUUUUAAUUUAGAAAAUCCAAGACAUAUAAAUGUGUUCAAUUAUGACAUAUAUGUGGAAGGAAAAUGGUUUUUUAAUGAUGAAACGUGGAUUUAAGAUUCUUUCAAAGUUUUGUAGGAUCUUCUAUUUCCAAAUAUUGACGUUGUAAUGCAGGUAUAAGAUGAUGACGAAGGAAAAGAAGUGCUUUUCAAUGGAUAGCAAGAAGGAUAGAAAUACUUAUUGUAGGAGAUUCUUCAAACAUAAUGGCAUCCAAAAAUUAUUUUGCAAAUAAAUUUGUUUUUGCCAUUUUUGUCUACAAUAGAUAAUUAUUUCCAUCCAUAGUCAAUGGUGGAAAUAAAAGAGCUUGAAAAUGUUGGGAUGCAUUGGUAAUAGUUGGAACUAUAAUAGAAGUAGUUGACGAUGUUGAAGCACUCAUUAUAAAUAAAUAUGUAAAGAAAAUACAAGAUCAAGUAGAAAAGUUGAGUAAAAUAUACCUUAAAAUAUAAAGUCAAAUAAAAUGAUAAAAUUGAACUUGAAAUCAAAAUAUUAAUUUAUUAUUAUUGUUAUUAUUAUUAUUUUAACAAGGUUGUAGAUUGUGGCAGUUGAGCAAUAGGGCAGCAGUGGCAAGGCAAUAUCAAUGACAAGAUUGGUAGUAAGCAAUGGGUUCUGUUCAGCGGCAAGCGUGAGGCACAGCAAGGAGGCAAGGCUGGAGCAAGUAUUCUAAGCAAGCAAGGCAUAGAGUGGAGCAAGUAUUCUUAGCAAGCAACUAAUGUAUGAAGGGCCAGCAAGAAGUGCAGUAAGAUCAUGAGUCACAUAGGGAGCAAGAAUAGCAAUAGAUUUGAAGAGUCAAGACCAAAGUAAAAAAAAAAAAAAUUGCGAUAGUGUGUAGAAGAGAGUAGUGCUGAUAACGUGUUGAGAAUGUUUAGAAAGUUACAAGAAUAGUAGUAAGUAAUAUACACACACAAGAGAGUUUCUAAAGAGAGAGAGAGCUUUACACAAAAAUCUAUUGAUUUGGUUGUGUCUCGUAUACAAGAGGAGAGGAUAAACAAUUCUUCUCUACUACAUUCCAAAUAGUAUAGCUAUGGUAUUUACUAUAGAAUACAAUAAAUAUUAUGGAGAGCGCUGGCUACAUUUAAUGCUCCCACCACUUCAGGCCCACUUUAAGCUGUUGUUGCAAGCAUAAUUUUGAAAUAGAAAACAGUCUCGUGGUAUCCUAAAUAUAAAUAUCUGGGUGGAUUUUUUAAACCUACACAUGUCUGGAACUUAAGAACUAAUUCUUGGUUGUGCUUAGUAAUCUGGAACAUAACAGAAAUUCCUCCAUAUUCUCAUUAACAGAUGGGUCUUCCUACAAUGAUACACUGAUACAAAGCUCCUAAGUUAUCUUAUUUUGAAGGCUAAUAGAAAUCUCCUACUACAGAACUGAUUAAUCGUGGAUUUGCAUAAUAGAAAUCUCCUACUACAGAACUGAUUAAUCGUGGAUUUGCAUAAGAGAUGAUUGGCAACUUUUCUGCAAGAACAAUCCCAAUCAGUUGGCCAUGCUUUAACAAAUUGCAAAAAAUAAUUCUUAAAGAAAGGCGUCAUUUCUAGCACUAUGUAUCCUAAAGGAAUUGCCAUUAUGCUAUGACGAAACGUUAAGCAUUGAAUUCUGUCAAGGCAAGUACCAAAAGAUUCUGUAAAUGAACUCUUUGUGCGUGAUACUGAUUAAGCUGCACACGGAAAAUAGUGACAGCUACCAAUGCGACAUUAGCGAACAAUGUGAAUAGUUUACUUCGAGAACCAUCCUUUGCAUGGUAUACCGUGUAUACAGCGUCAUGAAUUAGCUACUCAAGGCUUACAUCUCUGUCUGUGAUACAUAGAAGUCUAUAUGUCUCCACCAAGUUGGGGCCUAACGUGAACUAAAGUAUGACAUGAAAUGUCAUUAAGCUCCUUCUGAUUCAAUGCAAGAGGUUGCUGGUUAGAGGAUAGUGAAGGCUCUGAUUUGUCGACGAAUUUGAUAAAAGCAGGCCGACGAUUCAACACUCGUCAAAAAAAGCCCAAAUACUGAUUCGACACACCAACCUAUUCAUUUCAAUCUCUCGAGACGAAUCGUAAGAAACUUUAAAAACCGAUCAACUCACCUGUAUCUAGAGAGAAAUCCACUCUUCAGCAUUCAUGCUAGUGGACCAAUGCGUGCGAAGGUCGAAGUCGAGUGUCUAGGAAGUACGCUACGCCAGCGAUUUGUUCCAAGGCGCUCUUACUUUGCUCAUCAACAGUGUCACUCUCUUUCCUUAGCUUCAACCUCCGAGUUCAUAAGCUGUCGUUCUAUUUCUAAACUGCUCAGCACCAUCACGAGUCGCAAGAAUCUCACCGACAUACCCUGUUCACAUUUUCUUCAUUCAUCAAAACCUUUGAUAUUUAAAACCUUUGCAUUGACCAACAUAUUCACACUAGUUUUCGUGGGCUCCUCAACAUCCUCAAGGUGAACCCACGAACCAAUUUUUCACAUGCACGACACCUCAUUACGUGAAAUUCCGCUUCAAGCAGAGGCAUGACAGUACAGCACAGAAAAUAUGAAGAGAAGUGGGAGAAUCAUUGCCAAUCCACAAGGUCCGAAACACGGUCGUAAGCUUAGAGUAUCUAUGACCGUUUUGAAGCACACGCACUGGGCAGGGCCCGAUGAACCUUAACUAAAUACGGUAUGCGUGUCUUCUUGAAGCUAGAUUCAGGCUCGCAACCCUGUAGCUCUCAAGAGCUGUCACUACUUCAUGCAAGUGGAAGGCAGAUCAUUGGACAUGGAUCUUUGAAACUUUGCAUUUAAUGAGCCAGUAAGUAGCUGCGUGAUUGUGAGCAUGCAAGACUUCAACUUACAAUCACAAGCGUUGUCCUCACUGUCGUCGUCGUCGUUGCUGCUAUCUUAGAUUGUGCAGGGAGUCCGGAGUUGGGUCGAUUCAGUGCAGAAUCCAGAAGCCGCUAGAGGGAAGAGGUUUGAAGGGUUUCGAAGGUUUAGUGAGUUCAAAGUGUGGAGAGACCGGGAGAGGUGAUUGUAUUCAUGAUUGUUCGGCAGGAUGUUUACGGAAGUGGUGGAGCUCUGGAGUUUAGGGUUUUUGGUCCAACUUGGGUUCUGCAACGAGCUUAAGAAAGGCUCGGGGGGAUUAUAGAUUGUGGAGGCGGAGCUGAAAUAGGGCAAGAAGGGGCUGGAUUUGUGGGCAUGUGUGAAAUGGUAGAGCUUGUCGUGGGAGAAUAAUUGUUUAAAUUGUUUUGGUUGUGGCAUUCGGAUUCUGGAGAUGGGGUGGCUAGCAGCGUUUGUUGUUUCUCUCCUGGCUCUUGUAAGGAUUGGAAUUGCGCAGACAUGUUCGAAUUCUGAGAAUUCGGAUGCUUGUGAAUGGGAAGCAAUUACAAAUGGGAAGAAGUACAGCUUCAAUCUCGCUACUCCAAUCAAAGGAUACCCUCAUGGAAUUUUGAGCGAAGACGGGUACUACUGCUUGGCCCCAAGACCAAUCCGUAAAAAGCAAUGAUGCCAUGCAUUUUUCAUGCAAACGUUGCUCUAUGUCACAAGCUUUACUCAGUUCCUGCUAGGUCCAAAUCUGGCUUUUCAAGGUUGUGCUAAUUUUUCGUUUGAAUAAAGGUUUUACAAGGUUAGUGUAAAAUCGAAUGAGGGGAAGACUACGAUUUACUGGUUUCAGGUGCGUUUCAUGCGGAGCCAUCAUUCUGAAAACAUGGAUUAGAUUGUUAUGGGCAAUAACUAUUACUAAUGGCUGAUGGGCAAUACGCAUGGAUACACCCGAAUUGAGACUACGACUUCCCUCUGCUUCUUGUUUAGUUUGUUGCCUACCUGCACUGUUUUUCAAAUGGUUACCUGGGUUCUAAUAGGGUUUUCAGUUUCAAAGAGGUCAGCUCUCUCAGUAAUUUCUUUACGCGGAGUUUUGUUCAUUGUUUAUGAUCAGUUAUGUGAGCAUAUGAAGUUCAACUUUAAUCCACCUCUGUGCGAGAAUUGUGAGGUACCAAUUCAACCUCUAUACCAGAUUUAUGUUAUUGAUGCGACCUUGUUUUCGAUUCAUGUUUUGUUUCCUAAGUAGAAGUGGUGGCAUUGACUUUAGGUACCAGUCUGUACUAUGGACGGAAAGUUUGUAUGUUUGUCUCUGCCUUUAUUUUCUCUAUACUGUUUCGGUACUGAUGCCCUUUUCUAUCAUACUAUCUAUGUAAUAUGGAGAUUAAGAUUUUGAGUGGUUUGGUCAGACUUGUGGUGGUCCAGGACACUGUGGUGAAACCUGCAGUGCGCUCAUGUCCUCCUCUUUUCCAGGUUUGUUAUGGGAAUUUUGGUCUAAUUAUGUUCUUAAAUUCAACAUGUUUCUAAGCUGUGUGAUUGAUUUUAGAAUUUUUGAAUGCAUGAAAUUACUUCGAUUGUAGGUUGAACAUACUGAAUGUUCAGUUUAAGCGCCCAUAUAUGGGUUGCAGAGUCCAAUAUGAAUGUGGAUGCUGGCAGCUGAUGUCUAAAUAUCUACAGGCACCAUCGGGUUUUAAACUUUCACUGAAUGAUUGCUCAGAAGUGUGUACUCCUUGUAAUUGUUUCUUUUUUUUUCUUUUUUUUUCUUUUUUUUGAUACAUCUUAACGACUUUCUUCCUUGUUAUGCAUCGGGCCUUCUAUCACAUGGUCACCUGGAACUCAUGGUUUUCUCAGGUUAUUCCGUAUGUUCCACUCUUGGGUACCCUGGAAGCAUUCAAUACUCCUUGAUAAGUACGAUUUCAUCACUACCUCUCAUUUCAGUGUAUCUAUAUUUGACCCGUUGAAUGCUAUUUCUUUCUAUAAUUGAAGUUAUGGUCAUGUUUUAUUUUAUGUUUUGCAACUGCACAUAAACCAUGCUACCCCUGGUAUAAAUUUAACCUAUUGUUGGUCUGGCACAAUCGGAAACUGGCAAUCAAUCAUGAGUUAUUAAUAUCAUUUGAACUUGAAUUAAAUUGAAGUUCUUAUUCAAAGCUUCCGAUGUUAAAGUAGGAUAUUGAGAGGCUUCAUUUUUGCUCGUUAUGUUUCGCUUCAGAUCAGAACAAGCCGGACCAAGGUGUUCGAGUGAAAAUGACCACAUGCAACAAGAAUGCAAAGCCAGAUUGCUCGUUCUCAGUGUUGGUGUACUGCAGUCGUUCUGGUAUUGAGGUAUGAUGUGAUUGUCAAAUAGCAAUUACUCUAAUGUUUUUUGGGUCGAUUAGACUGGAAGGCUGUUCAUGAGCUGGUUGUGGGUGCUCAUUUUUCUAAUGUUUACAGCACGAGUAGUGAAUGCAAAGGAGAUCACAACUAUGAUUCGUGUAUAAUCUAGUCAUAACUAACUCACACAAGUUUUUAUGAAUGUGCACACGCGCGCGCGCACACACACACACAAGGCAUCGUUUUUUCUUCAGAACUGUAUGUGAACGUAUUUUCUUCAGAACUGAACGGUGAACGUAUGUGAACCAAUUGCGAGUAUCUGCUAUGCGCAAGAGAAGUUCUGAACACGGGAGCUGGAAGACUUGAGCAUGCCAUAUCAUCUAAAUUUUGCAUGCGAAUGCUUGUGCAGGUACCCACUAAAGUAACGAAUAUUACAUCAGGGGUUUGUGAUUAUGUAAGUCUCUGACCGGACUGCUCACAUUGUAAUAAAACUUCAGGCUUAUCAUUGGUUAAAGUGGACUCCCAUGUCAUCCACCUAGUCAUGUUCUUUGUGGUCAUAGCCCUUAAUGUCAAAUUUCGUUGUUGUGGCGUGUCGGGACGUCCAUACUUGUAUAAAUUUUAAGGAAGACCUAUGUUCAGUUUGACAAACUAGAUUAUGGUGGCAAUGUUUGCUAAUUUGGUUAAUUGUAUGUUUGCAUUAGGCUUUUUCCGGUUGAUUCUGUGAUAUGAUUUUGGAUUACUAUGCGUAUUAGGAUCUUUAAAUAUUUUGACGUUUUAUUUUGUUGCUUGAUUGUUACAUAAAUUCACUUCCAAAUUUCUUUGAUUGUAGCGGUGUCAUCGGUUGCGCAUCUGUAGCAUUCAAAGUCAGUGAUGCAAAUGUGGCUUGAUCAGGCUACUCUGAACCAUACCAUUAACGAUUAGAUAUCCUAUGUUGGUGAACAGGAGACCAUAUUAAAACAUCCAGCAGGUUGCCCCGUGGUGACGAAUGUGAGUAAAGGUGGAUGGGGCUGGUUUGGUUCCUUGUUUUUCAUGUAAGUGCUUCAUCUCCAUUUCAAAUAUCUGAGCAUUCUGAUAUUACCAAAUAGCUGUUGGUUGCACUUGAACCUAGAUUUUCGUGGUGCUUCAGCAAGUUGCGAGAUUGUGCGAAUAAGUUUGUGCAGUAUUUUAAAAAGAAGGCUGCAUAUUUUCUUUCAUCAGUAUGUUGGCCAUAUCUGGGUGUCUUGAUUUUCUUUGGGCUUGGUGCUUUUGAAAGUCAUGGAUAGCUGAAGGUCCUUCAAACCUGUGAAUUGCCACGAAUCUUAGCCCUACACAAAUGGACGGACAAGUAUUUGUAAAACUAUUUCUAACAUUUUAGGCGACUAUUAUCAAUCCAUAGAUCUUCAAGGCCAAAAAUCGAACGUUUACAGAGGGAUGGAGACGGUAUUAUCAUUUCUAGUUUGUAGUCUGGGAGAAGAGAUUAUCUCAUCUAGUGCGUGUGCAGGUUGUUACUUGCCUUUGUCGUGUACAUGGCUGUAGGCAUUGGUUACCGUGUAACUGUUCUCGGUGUGAGUGGAUUUGAGGUAAGUUCCUAGAAGAUUGUCGUCUGUUUGCAUUGCAUAAAAUUGCUUAUUUUGAUCAGGUUUGCUGUUACCGUACAUCUAAAUCUGAUUAAAGUGACUUUUGUACGAUAAAAGGGAUAACCUAUUCAUAAACUAAAAGUAUGUUAGUUACCAAUGUGUAUCACCAUGUACAUUGAUAAUUUUAAAGCAUCUUAUUACCAAUGUACCUCAAAGUUGAUGUACGUUGGCCGGCUGUGCAGGCAAUUCCGAAUCUGGACACUUGGCGCACCCUUCCAUCAAAGAUCCAGGUAUUUCCUAGUAUGCCAAGCGCCCCUUAUGCAGCUUAGUGGUGGUGGAAGAAGUUGUGCAGUGCAAUCGUAGCUUACCUCUGGCAAUCAGUGAUUUCUGAGAGCUGACCACAAUUGCCUGUCGCAAGCUGUCCUUUGCACGUUGCCCUAUUCUCUAAUUUCCGUGCUCCUAUGACAUAAAGAAUCGGCGAAGCUUGCAUCCUUUUUUCCCGAGUCCUACGUUUGUUUCAUGUCUCUAACUACCUCAAAGUUUCUUGUCAUAAGAUGUCUUUGACAGUUUUUAUUUAUUUAUUUCGGUUGGUUUGUGUGCAGCUCUUCAUUGAGUACAUCAUUUCGCAAUGCAUGGACCUCUACUACCGCCUCACGGAAAACUCAUAUUCUCGAGUCAAUACAUGAAGUACGCAGAAUUAACUAAAACUCAUAUUCUCGAGUCAAUACAUGAAGUACGCAGAAUUAACUACAACCCGUUAUCUAGUUGCUCAAGAUGGUUCAACACAAUAGGAGUAAUGUGAAGAAGUAUCCUCUUUUGUUCGAAAAUCGUAGUAUCUGGUUCUCUGAAUACUUGUGCAUGUGUUCGAAAAUCGUAGUAUCUGGUUCUCUGAAUACUUGUGCAUGUGUUCCAUAGAGGAAAUGUUUGUGUGUUCAUCCGGGAGUUGAACGUUGUCCACUUGAUCGUUUGGAUAAUUUUUAAAGCUUCGUUUCUUGAAACCCUGAACAUGUGUGGACUCUCCCUUCAAAUAGUAAUGGUUGUGCUACGGUGCUAAACCUAUGUCAACUGCGAACUAUCAACUCCCAUUUCUACAAAAACCUAUAAGCCAUCCAGAACUAACGGGACGAUUAGAGGUUGUUCUAAACACACAUUACGCAUUCAACACACCUGCGCUCGUGAGGCAGAAAUUACAUAGAGAUGGUAGUAGCUCUACAAUUCUAUAUUGCACAAUGCGUCAUUGAAAACCACUGACUGUGGCACAACUUUACAGGCUUGCACUGAGCAGCUGUUCAAGCAGGAUGAUCUCAUCCUUGCAUCCCAGAAAGGACUUGAUUCUCUGUGAAUGCCACCAAAAUUACAAACUAGACUUCUUCAGAUGAAUACUUCAUUUGAAAGGCUCAUUGUAUUACAGAUAGGGAGAAAGCAGGCGUUACUUUAUUUACUGUCUAGAACUUCCACCAAUGGCGACGGGAUUUCGAAGGCCGAUCAUAUGGCCACGGCUGAUGUCCCACUCCGUCGGAGCUGCAAAAAUAAUUCCCAUCAUUCCCCUCAGACUUUUAAAGUCUAAGGUAUUUGUGCGCCACACGUAUCACUACUUGCAAGUGAGCUCAUGUAAGCAUACAUUUUUCAGAGAACUCAAAAUGCACAAAAAUGAUUCAUACAGUAGCAAGGAGCUUUGUUCACCUCGAGAGAAACGGAUCAGGAAGAUUUUCAACGAAGGUAAUCAGACUGCCGUAAUCACAUAACACACCAACGGAUAUUAUAUCAUGGGUCCCAACGUCAGUUCCAGUUGCAUGAUUAUGGAAUAAUUCUACGUAUGAUCUUUAAGGAUAAACCUAGCCAUGGUAUUCUGACGAUUUCAGGUACCUAUUCUACUAUACCCUAGUAAACAACAAACGCAGUGUGACAGAGUAACUGAUGCAAAACAACUCUCUGUUUCAGUUCCACUUUCUAACUUGAAGAUUUAUCCCAAACAAAAAGCGAUAAACAAGGUAAAAUGGACAUGACCAUACGCAUUCACAGGAGGAUGUAGUUGCAUAUCAAAUAGGAAGGAAAAUGUGUACACUCACUCUUUGCAGGCCUUCGACGCGAGAGGUGUGUUGUUCAAAACCUCCAACUCCUCCUGUAAAGGAAGAUGUUAUCUCAUUACGUAAUAUAACGACGAAUAUUUUUGCAUGUCACAUUCGCAUAUUGAGCCAGUUCUUCAUUUCGAAUCAGUUACAUAAAAAUAACUCGAAAGACAUGACACUACAUUUGAUGAUGUUUAGCAACAGGUAAAAGUUAAGAGACUUCAUGACAAGCUCACCUGGAGAAGCUGAAUUUCAUUGUUCAGAUGCUGCAGCUCAGUCUGCUUGCGAUUACGCCCGCGUCCGAGAAGUGGAGCGGGAGUGGACGCGGUUGCCUGAGGCCGAGAAUUCAUGGGCAGGUAAGGACUGGGCCGGCAAACGAUAUCGCUCGCUUAUCAGUACAAUCUUAGCUAGCACACCCUUUCAAGAACUGAUGCACAAAGGCCACCGAUUGAUCAAUCGAAAACAGGUAAACUAACCCCAAUGUCGUCGCGAACUAUUUCAAUCCUCCUGCAAAACCUCCAAGCACAGCACAAUUUUCAACCGUCACCGAGAAUCUAAUCAUACAAAAGUUCCAAACGAUUUCGGACGGCUACCACCAGAGUCCGCCAAAAAUCACUCAGUAGCUGAGCUCGAAUGACUUUCCUGGAUUAUGAACCAACUCUAAACUCCGGGGAACUCAAAUCGCCACACCCUCUCCCCUUGACAGAACGAGCAGAAUGACUCAAUGAAUCAUCAAACACGAGCAGUCCAAAACAACUCAGGGCAGCAGCGAACAACCCUCUCGAAAACUCAUUUCAUGAAAUGUUGAUUCAGUCAAAAUCGAUCGGCUUUCACUAAAUUUUGAGGAGAAUGGGGCUGGAAGAUUGAGCUGCGCCGAGAGGAAGCAACUCACGAGGAGGAGGAGGGAACCGCGCCAUGGCCAGCCGAUUCCCUGCACAACACUACACACCCCCCCUCCCUUCCCCCUCGCCUUCUGUCCCGACGUUGUCCCUCCGGUCAAAGGACCUUUACGUAGCUGUCACCCCUGUGACCGGGGAAAAGAAGACAUCCUAAGACCGAUAUUGAAAGCCCACGGUAUGUUGGAACGAUCGGGCUGCCAGUCGCAUUUUGGGUCGACGCACCCAUUACCACUUCAUGCAAGUAUUUGUCAAUGGGAAAGAAUUUGCAUAUUUUAUUUGUGAGAAGUGGUGGAGGUGCCUACGAUCAUGAUCUAGUUCUAUUAGGGCAUUGAUGUUUACCAAAUUGGUAUACAUUUUUUUAAUAAAACUAUACAUGUAGAUGUUUUUUGCUAUUAAUAUUUUUACUUAUUCUUUGAUAUGUUUUUUUUUUUUUUUUUAUUUUUAUUGCAAUAAUGUCUAUGUAAUUGAGUAGAAAAAACAUCCCUUAAUAUAUGUUUAUUGAUAUUUUUAAGUGUUUACAUAUAGCUCAUUUGUAAAAUAUCAUGAGAAAUGGAUCCUAUGAAGUUAUUUACUACUAAAUUGAAGAUUGUAGUCUAUACAAGCCAAAUAACAUUAAAACUCUAAAUAUUGAGUUAAUAAGUGAAUGAAGUUUCUUCUUCAAAGAUAUUCAAAUUAAGAUAAUUUUUUUUCAUUGUUUUAAAAAUCUAUGUUUUCAAUGAAAGAUCUUAAAAUAAUUAGAUUAUUCAAAAUCUCUUUAAAUAACUUAUUUUUAACAAGAGUAGGAAUACUCAAAAUCUUAAUCUGAUAUUUGACAAGGAAGGUAUUAAUUAUCUUAAAUUUAGUAAGUAGAAUAAUAUGAAUCUCAAACAAUCUAAUAAAUUAUACAAUAUUAUAGUGUAAUAUUGUAAAUAACUAUUAUAAAACUAAUAAAUUCUAUAUCUAUUUUAAAGAACAACUUUUAAUUUUAUUUGGUUUUUUUGUUAAUUAAAGAUAAUAAAAUUUCCAUUAUCAAUAAUAUAAUUUUUUUCAAAAGUAAAGAACAUUUUUUAGAGGAUUGUUAUCUUAUUAAGCACAAAAUUCUUCUUAUUCAUUUCUUUGAUUAAGGAUGUAGUACUUAAAGAACUCUUUUAGAAAUGUUUUAAUGAGGGUGUUAGUAUUUUUUUAAAUAAAUUCAAGAAGCAAAAAAUAAUAAAAUAUAAAUUUUUAUUUUUUUACCUAAACUCUAUUUUUAAUUAAUAUAAUAUAAAUACUUUAUAGAAAAGAGAUAAGACUCCAAUCUUAAAUUUAAUGUUAUUACAAUAGAAGAUUUGUAAAAUGUAUUAUUAGUCAAGGCUUGAAAAAUAAACAAAAUUAUAUAAUAUAUAUUUUAAAAGUAACCUUUAUAAGACUCAAAACUUUUAUGAGUAAAUUAAAAAUAGUAUAAUAGAUUGUACAAUAGUGGAACUUAAAAAAAAAAAAAAAAAAAAAAAAAAAAAUAGUAUUUUGAGCUUUUUAGAACUAAUGUAUUGAAUUCUAACAAUUUGAAAUCUAAGAUGUGAUAUAUCUCAAUAUAAAGUACUUCUAAAAACUUGCGUACAAAUAUCUAAUUUUUUUAAAAAUAUUUUAUCUCUAAAAAAAAUAUAAAUAUUUUUGUAAAUUUACAAAUAGAAAUAUACAAUACAACCUUAAAACUUUAUAAGAUUUGAUAAUAUUUUAAUAUAUAUAGUAAAACAUAUACUUAAAAAUUUAAAAUAUAUCUUCCAAAUGUUUCAUAAUUUGAUGAUUUAUAGAAAUAAUAAACCUCAAAUAUACAUAAUAUUAUAUAUCUUUAAAUAUGUUAUUUUAUCUUUUUAUUAAUUAUAUAGCUUACAUUUUUAUACAUAUAUUGUAUCUUAUAGCAUAUUAUUUUAUGCACAUUUUCAUAUAUAUGCAAUAUGUAGUACCAUUAAUAAGGUUGCGUAAAAAAAAUAAUACAUUAAUAUAGAUAAUAAAAAUUAUAUAAUAUAAGACAUAAUGUAAUAUAAUUAUUUUAUUAUUAAUAACAAAGAUAUUAUAUUUUUUUAUAUUGAUGGUCACAUAAGAUAAUUACAUGCAUAAUUUGUAAUAUAAAAAUCUAACAUUAUAACAUUAAAUAUAAUUAUAAUACUAUAAUAUUAUUUAUUUAAUAUAAUAAUAUUAUUAUUUAUUUAAUAUAAUAAUAUUAUUAUUUAUUUAAUAUAAUAAUAUUAUUAUUUAUUUAAUAUAAUAAUAUUAUUAUUUAUUUAAUAUAAUAAUAUUAUUAUUUAUUUAAUAUAAUAAUAUUAUUAUUUAUUUAAUAUAAUAAUAAUAUUAUUUAUUUAAUAUAAUAAUAAUAUUAUUUAUUUAAUAUAAUAAUAAUAAUAAUAAUAAUAUUUAUUUAAUAUAAUAAUAAUAAUAAUAAUAUUUAUUUAAUAUAAUAAUAAUAAUAUUAUUAUUUAUUUAAUAUAACAACAAUAAUAUUAUUAUUUAUUUAAUAUAAUAAUAAUAAUAUUAUUAUUUAUUUAAUAUAACAACAAUAAUAUUAUUAUUUAUUUAAUAUAAUAAUAAUAAUAUUAUUAUUAUUAUUAUUAAAUAAUUUGAUUACAAGUAGUUGCUUUAUAAGCAUUUUAUUUUAUUUCAUGAUUAUUGGUUUAGAUGUUCUUUACUUGGAGUAGUAUGUACCUUUAAACUAUAAGAUUUUGAUGUCUAUGUAGCCAUUAUGUUCUUGCAUCUUGUUUGAUAAGAAUAAUUAGUAUGAAAAAAAUGCCUCAAUUUGCUAUGAUCUUAUUUUCUUCAACUAGUUUUGUUAGGAUCUAAUUAUAUAUACUAAGUACAAUAAAUUUGAAUUAGUAUGAAAUGCAUGUUGGUUCAAAAGUGGUAGAUGAUACAGAAUCAAAUUAAUUUCUUGUGAUAUACACAAUUAUUGAUAUGGCAAUGACUACAACUUCAAUCACAAUGUUUGUUGUUGUUGAAAUAAAAAGCUCUUCGAUCUUAUGCCUGAGAUUUUCAAAAGUACAACUAACCUUAAAUGUGUUGCUUUUUGGUUUCAUUGAUUUGAUAAGACCUUAUUUUUCAUUUAAAAUUAUGUUUGUAAUUGAUACGACUUAAAAUUUAGUUUUCAAUCUUUUCAACCUAUAAAAAUAAUAGAUGCCAGUAUAAUAUUUUUGAAUAUAGCAUUCAUUAGUGGAGGCAUGAAAUUAAAUAAGUUUCUCAUUAUAUCUUACAUCACUUGGUGUAAACGCAAUUUUAGAAAUCAUUUCAUAUACUUUUCAAUUUUUUUUGUAAGCAUGUACCAACAAAUAUUUGUAAUAUAGUUUUAUGUUUUAGGUAGAGAUAAAUCUAAUUUAUUUGAGCCAAUUCUAAAAAAUGAGAAUUUUCAAUUGAAUGAUUUUCUUUGAGUAAUAUCAUGUGUUGAAUUUCUUAGUUUAAUAAAUAACUAUCUAAUUCCUUAACAACAAGUUAUACUAUCUUAUAGUGCUUUGUCUUAUUCUUGUAUUACUUUGUAUAUUGACCUACAUUGUUAUUAAGUUUAUUCUCAUUAAGGCCUUUUUUGGACAACAUUGGAUCCAAGCUGGCUCAUUUUCCUACUAGCUUAGCCUUCACAUUCCUAUUCUUGUCACGGACACAGAAAUUAUCACGGACAUAGAAAUACAGGCUCGAGAUCUAACAAGAAGUUCAAGAAGAACUGCCAAGAACUAGAUUAAUCAGAUGAAUACAAGAACAACACCAAAGAGGUGAGCUAGAGGUCCUAGAGAUGUGUUGUCGAGACUGAAGAACUCUUCAGCCUCGAUUCCAAUAUAUACUCCUAUUUAGGAAACUUCUCAAGUAACUUCUACCAAUUAGGAAGCUUCUAUAAGGUUCUAAGAACUAUGUCCCUAACAUCACCCCCUCCUUUAGCUUCGAGGUCUCUGAGAAGCAAUGUUGUUGUAGAUCAGUACCAACGUAAGAAAAUGAAGAUCUGUUACAUAACAUUUGCAAUGAAUAUCAACUGGUGUUCACGAGACAAGUGGUUCAUCAACCCUUGAACCAAUGGUAGUGGCCCACGCCUUCGACUUCUGACCAAGCAUGAACUUCUGUGUCCUCAUUGUGAAAUUGUCUUGCAAACACGCCUUCUGGCUGACCAUCAUAAGCAGGCUCGAACUCAAAUACAAUCACCAGUGAUCGGUUACUCGGUAUCCUCCGUCGUCGUUGUGGUGUAGGUAGUUCUUCAUCUCAAGGUCGCCUUCGUGAGCUAGUCAGUUGAGAUAAUAUGAUUGGCAUAAUAUCUAUCUCUUGGCUAUCCAUAUCAGAAGACCAAACUAUGGCUACUAAAAAAAUUCUACUUUAUUUUGGAGAAAAUAACUACAUCAAUUACAAAUUUUGGUGGUACUCUCCCCCUUUCUUAUAUUCUGGGGUGAGCAAGCUUCAGAAGGAAGCUAUCGUCGAACCGGCUUAGGUUUAUGAGGAUGUUGUUGAUGAAACUCCUGUACCUUUUGCGACGCAUUGGCGAGAUUUUCAGCUGGCUCCCACGUUUGCUCAUUAAUGUCGUAGUUGCACCAAUGAACAAGAUACUCCAACUUGCCCCACCUUUGCCAUGAAUCCAGUACCUUUUUGACCUCGUAUUCCUCGUGGUUCUCAAUCUCAAUACUAGGUGGCGGAUAUUGCACUCUUCUAGGAAAAGACGACUCUUGAUAAGGCUCCAACAGAGAAACAUGAAAGAUUCGAUGUACCUUCAUAGAAGCCGGUAAUUCCAGACGAUACGCCACUAGAUUGAUUUGCUUUUGGAUGAUAAAUAGUCCCAAUCUUCAAUAGUCCAACUUAUCACAUAGUCGCUUCGUCUUGAUAUUCCGUCGAAGAAGCCAUGCUUUAUCUUCAAUUUUGAAAGUAGGUGCUUGAUUCCAAAAUCUAUGUGCAGUCGCCCUGUAGGAUUUUUGAGCGGAUUGUAAUUGAAGCUUCAAUGUAGUUUGAAGCUUUGAUAGUUGCUUCGCAAAUCCUUCAGCUGCUAGAUUGUUAUUUGUUGACGGACUCAAUAAAUCAAGCUUCGGAUGAUAUCCAUAGUUGGAAAAGAAUGGUGUAUAUUGAGUCGAUACAUGGAGGGUGUUGUUAUAUGCAAACUCGGCUAGCGACAGAUAUGCGAUCCAAUCGUCUUAUUGAUAGGUCAUGCUGCAUCGUAAGUAUUGUUCCAAGACUUAGUUCACCCGUUCCAUUUGGCCGUCAGUUUGAGGAUGAAAAGUCGAAGAAAGCUUGAUAUCCACCUUCAGUAUCUCAAAGAGAGAUCUCCAAAACUUUGACAUGAACUGGGUUCCUCGAUUUGAUACGAUAUGAUCUGGUAGUCCAUGAUAUCGAUACACAUUAUUGAAAAAGAGCCUUGUUGUGACUUCACUAGAUGAUAUUUUCUUACAAGGGACAAAGUGCGCCAUCUUUGUAAGCCGAUCUACUACGACAAAGAUGCUGUCAAAUGAAUUCGAUGAUGGCAGGUCCGUGAUGAAGUCCAUGAAAAUUGAAGACCAUGGUCGACGUGGAAUCGACAAUGGCUAUAGAAGUCCAUAAGGGCAAUGGCGAGGAUUCUUGGAUCUUAAACAGAUGUCCCAGGAGAAGACAAAAUCUUUCACAUCCUUCUACAUUUGAAGCCACCAAAAAUCUCGAAAAAUAAGCUCUAAGGUCUUGUUGAAUCCAAAAUGUUCCGCAGUUGGAAAAUCGUGGCGAGAUUGAAGAACUCGGAGUUGUGCUAGUCCUUUUGGAAUAUACAACCACUCCUCAAAGUAUAAAAGAUCUACCUCCACCUUGAACUUGUCGUCAUUGGCACGCUGCUUGAUAUCAAUGGCUACUGAAUCUUCAAUGGUCAUGGCAUGUACCUGGUUCAGGAAGUCGACAUCAAUUGGCACAAUAGUAGCACAAAGCCGAAAUUGCUCUGGCUUCAAGAACGUCAUACAUUGUUGAUCAAACACUGCUUCUCCAACCUUUGGUACAAGAUAUAAUCUCCUCGAUAAGGCAUCGAAUAGUCGUUGCUACUUUUCAAGUCGAUAAGUGAUAACAAAAUUGAACCUAGACAGCGACAUACCCCAUCAAGCUUGACGUCGAUUUAGAACUCGAGCCAAUAUGAAAUACUCCAAAUUCUUGUGAUCCGUGUAUACGGUCACUGGGUGUGUAGCUCCUUCAAGAAAGUAAUGCCAUUCUUGGAAAGAAUCCACUAUAGCAAGAAGUUCCUUAUCGUGGAUCUCAUAAUUGAUUUCAGUAGUAGAGAACUUUCGAGAAUAGAAUGCAACCAGAUGGAGCUUCUUGUCUUCUCCCAUUUAUGGAAGUACAGCUCUCAAAGCAAAAUCCGAAGCAUCAGUUUCUAAAUAGAAGGCCUUUGUAAAGUUUGGAUGUACCAAGAUUGGAGCCAUAGUAAAUGUCGUCUUCAGGUCUUGAAAUGCCUUCUCCGCUAGAGGUCCCCAUUCCAGCUUAUCCUUCCAUGUCAACCGAGUAAGAGGAGCAGCAACUUGAGAGUAAUUCUUGAUGAAGAUCCGAUAGAAGUUAGCAAACCCAAGAAAGCAUUGUACGUCUCUAACCGUCUUCAAAACCUCUCAGGAUACGAUUGCUUCCACCUUCUUGGGGUCAAUCUUCAAGCCUUUCAUAGUCGCAACGAAUCCCAAAAACUCCAUCUCUAUUUAGUAAAAUAAACACUUCUCCAACUUGACAUAUAGUCCUUGCUCGCAUAGUUUCUCCAAGACCAAACGAACAUGCUUUUCAUGCUCUUCUUCGUUUUUUUGGAGAAUUUCAAAAUAUCAUCCAAGUAGAUGACAACAAAAUCGUCAAGGUGCUCCCAAAAAAUGUCACUCAUCAUAUGUUGGAAGACCGCUGGAGCAUUGAUAAGACCAAAGGGCAUGACAUUAUACUCAAAAUAGCCAUACCUUGUACGAAAUGAUGUCUUCUAUUCAUCUCCUUCCUUGAUUCGUAUGAGAUUGUAAGCUCCCCUUAGAUCAAUUUUUGUAAAGAUCCUUGCACGUCCAAGUUGUUCUAAGAGACCAGAAAUUAAGGGUAACGGAUAACGAUUCUUCUUUGUUACCUUAUUGAGGCCUCGAUAGUCCACGCACAUUUGCAACGAGCCAUCUUUCUUCUUCACAAAUUAGAUGGGUGCUCCAGUUGAUGAUUUCGAAUGACAGAUGAAGUUCUUGGCUAGAUUCUCGUCAAUGUACUUCCGCAACUCCACCAACUCUAUCUGUGAUAGAUUGUAGAUUAGGCCAAAAGGCGGUUGUGCUCCUUCCUGCAAGUCUAUGGCGCAAUCAUAUGGUCGGUGUUUUGAUAGCAUGUCGGCAUUUUUCUUUUGAAACACGUCUUUAAAAUCCUUAUAUUGCUUUAGUAUACUUGUUGUCGAGAUCUUCUCUCCGGUAGUUGUAGCCACAUAAAUGACAAACGGUGUGCCUUCCUUGGACGAUCUUACAAACGCUCUUGCUCCAAUGAAUAAGGAUUUCUCUAUUUGGGAUUUUCUACUAGGCUUGUUCUUGGAUGGUUUUGUGGAAAAGGUCAUCUUCCGCAACCUCCAAUCUAUGGAUGGAUUAUGCUGUUCCAACCAGGAAAGACGAAGAAUAAUAGGAUUUGAUGGGGUUUUAAUAAUAUUGAAAAUAAUAUGACUACUAUGGCCCUUAAACGUCACUUUUAUAGGUUUUGAUUCAUGGGUGACACUACCAGACAAUAAAGGUCGUCCAUCUAUGACCUCAACGUGAACAGGUUUGGAUUUUUGUACUAAAGGGAUAUUAUGACGCUUCGCAAAUUCUUCAUCUAAGAAACAAGCAGAUGCUCUUGAAUCUAAUAAUGCUAAGGUUCUCAAUUUUUGAGGGCCAAUAAAUAAAGGGAUUGUAAAACAAAGGGCAGGUUGAACGGAAAGAAAGGAACUUGGUUGUUAUUGCGAUAUUUCACUAUCCAACCACACGAUUCCUAUUGUGGCUGGGCAUCCUCGUUUUCUUGAACAAAUGUGCCCCUGGUCCUGAUAGUGCGUCAAUUUUGCUUCUUGGGGCAGUUUCCAACUUUGUGGCCUUCUUCACCGUAAUAUAAGCAUAUACCUUCCUCCAUAUGCUGUUUUUUUUCUUCUAGAGUAAGGGAUUUGACACGUACCACAUCAAUUUGCAUGUCUUCUACCUCUGAAUGUGAAUUCACGCUGCUUGUCGAUAUAGUUGGGGCGUGGCGAACCGUAUGUUGUCUUGAGCGUUGGACUUGGCGACAUUGGAAUAAGAGAUUAUUGCACUUCACAGCUUGGCUAAUAGCUUUGUUGAGCAUUUGCGGAUCACGAAGAGUUAACAACAAAUCCUUCACAUCGUCCUUUAAAGCCCAAUAGAAUUGACUCAUCGAUGCUUCUUCGUCUCUAUUGAUGUUGCAUGCUAAUUGCCUGAAAUCCAAUGCAUAGACUGAUGUAGAGCGCAUCCCUUGUCGUAGUGACCGGAUCUUUGUUGUAGCCCAUUAAACCUUGUCGUAUUCACCAAAUGCUUCCGCAAAUGCCUCCAAAAAGGUUUCAAAGUUGUUUAGUAUGGACAAUCGUUUCUCAAACAAAGGAACAAACCAUGAUAGAAUUUGCCCUGUAAGUAAGGUUCCAAUAAGCCCAACACGUGACUCCUCCGUUGGAUAGCGUUUGGGCUAUAAAAUUGUUAUCAACAUGAUUUGAUUGACGAAUCCUCAAAACUUGUAGCGCAUACGAUUGAACUUGUCCGAAAGGCUAACUCAAGGCUCCUUAUGUUGUAGAAUCAACGGUGCUUGUCAAACCUGAGGCAAAGUUGCUUCUCCAAGUGUAGAAGUUUGAGGCUGGUGCAACCUAGAUUGUGCCAUCCCAGAUGCUCCAUCAUUAUGAAGCCUUGCCACGACUCCUUCAAUCUCUGCAGUUCUUUACGAUAAUGUAGUGAGGGCAUUCAUGAUAGCAUCUAAUUUGGACUCCGAACUUUCCGUCAUACUAAUGUCUUGGCCUUCGGCCAUUCUAAUAGAAGGACAGAAAUGACUCUAUAAGAAGACAAUAUUGGUUUAGAGGAGGGUACUCCGCAACCUCUAAAAUGCCUUAAGAACUUCAAGAAAAGGGAUAAUCCACUCUCUCCAAGAAGAAUAAGACUCUAAUAUUAUAACAAAAGAAGUAUCAGUUUAGAAGAAGGUAAUCCGCAACCUCUAAAAUGCUAAUACACCUUCAAGCAGAGGGGUAAUCCACACUCUAACGAGGAAGAAACUAGCUUUGAUAUCUCAGGUGAGUUCAAUCUCGACAAAGUAUCACAAACAUAGAAAUUGUCACGGACACAGAAAUACAAGCUCGAGAUCUAAUAAGAAGUUCAAGAAGAAUUGGCAAGAACUAGAUUAAUCAAAUGAAUACAAGAACAACACCAAAGAGGUGAGCUAGAGCUCCAAGAGAUGUGUUGUCGAGACUGAAGAACUCUUUAGCCCUAAUUCUAAUAUAUACUCCUAUUUAGGAAACUUCUCAAGUAACUUCUAUCAACUAGGAAGCUUCUAAAAGGUUCAAGAGACUUGCUUCUAGAAGGUUCUAGAGACUUGUCCCUAAAAGGUUUUAAGGACUAUGUCGCUAACAUCUUCUACCAAUUAGGAAGCUUCUCAAGCAACUUCCAUCAACUAUGAAGCUUCUAGAAGGUUCCAGAGACUUACUUCUAGAAGGUUCUAGAAACUUGUUUCUAGAAGGUUUUGAAGGACUAUAUCCCUAACAAUUCUAGUACUUUCUCAUUCAUAUAACAUUUGUGAGUAGCAAAAAAUGUGGUGGUUUUUGUAAAGUAAUAAUACUCUUUAAAGAAAAUAAAUUAAGAUAAGGCAUUAAAAACAAUAAGUUUGAAGGCAAUAGUACAAAUUGAGACUAAUAUAUAAAUAUUUUGUAUCAAUUUGUUAAAAAUCACAUAUUAGAUGGAUUUUUAUUUAUUUAUUAUAUUAGUUCUUGGUAUCACGGAUAUAUACAUGUAAGCAAGUAAUUACCUAUAUAAAUAGAUAGAAGUAAGUAGAAGUAGAUAAAAGUAAGUUAAUUCUAUAAUUUCUUCUAUAGAAGCUUUCUAGAAGCUCUAUAGAUACUACUUUGACUUUAUAGGUGUCUAUAAUUGAUUUUUUGGAUUAGAAAAGUGGUCAACAAGUUGGCCAUGUGCCACACAUGUUGUUAGCUUGAAGACUAAGCUAACUAUGUGGCUUACACAUAGAAAAACUUGCCUUGUAAGUCAAGGCAUGUGUCUUACAAAGUCAACACAUAUUGGAGGUCUUAUAGAACAUUGCCACAUAGCUCCUAGUUAGAUAGUAUAUAUAGAGACAAGAAUGAAGCCCUCUUCACUCUUGUCAACUCUUUUCUUGCUUCUAAGUUAAUUUUAAGAAUCUCAAGUUUCCUUGUCUUUUGGCAAUAAGUCAUUCCCGUUUCUUUUUAAUAUACGUACUUCUUUAUUUCUAUUUUGUUACUCUUUCUUUGACAUAGAUUUCAUUGAUUUUUGCAUUAUCUUUUAAUUUAUGUUCUUGACAGCUUGACAAAAGUACACUUAUAAUAUCAGAGCUUUGUCUUGUCUUGAUUAAGAGUAGAUUAUCCCUUUCUCAUGAUAAGACAUAAACAAAUUAGAAGUUGCGAAUUAUCCUCUUCUAAAUUGAUAUUGUUUUUAAUAUUUUCUUUGUCCUCAAGCCUUUUUUUCUACUUGUCUUUAGUAAUAUUUGAUAUUUAUUUGAGUGUUAUUAUAGGAGAGCUUGUUGAAAUGAAGAAUGCAAUGGUACAAAACCAAGAGCAAUUGAGGGAGUUGAUGCUUGCAAUGCAUCAAUUAAGCUUACUACCACAAGGAUUAAGAAGAAUGACAAGAAAUGAGGAUAUAGAGAUGAUUAAAGUUGCUUCAAUAUCUGCACCAAAUCAUGUCCCUCCACCCAUGGUAGAACAUUCUUCAAGUGUUAGAGAACCAAGAGUUAAUUUGCUCAAGAAGUUUGAUGGUACAAGAUCCAAAUUUUAAAGAUUUAUCAAUCAAAUAUAACUUGUGAUUGAAGUUCAACUUCAAAGCUAUCCAACUCAAGGAUCACAAGUUAGAUUCAUUGUUACACUUCUUUUAGGUUCAACACUAUUAUGGUUUUUAUCUUUUUUUGAAUUACGAGAUCCAAUAUUAAAUAAUCUGGAGGCAUUUUUGGCAAAAUUUUGGUCUAUGUAUGGAAAACAUAAUGCAACUUGUGUUUCAACCAAUAAGAUCCAUAUUUUGCAACAAUGCAAUUGAUCUAUAAUAUUAUAUGCUUUACAAUUUCAACAGUUUGCAACUGAUAUUAAGUGGGAUGAUGUUGCACUUAUUAGCCAAUUUCUUUAUAGAUUACAAAUGAAGUAAAGAAAUUGAUGCUCAACUUACCUGAUCUUCAAAUAUUGAAUCAAGCAAUUGACUUUAUUGUGAAAUGUGACAAUCAAAAUUUUAAAUUUUGAUCUAAGAGUCGCACAAAUGGGCCUCAACAAUACUGUAAUUCAAUGGCAAUACCAACAUCUCUUCAAGACAUACAUUGAGAAGUAGAGGAUAUGCAAAUUGAUGCGGUACAUUUUAAAAUGUCUUAUUGAGCAAGAAAAGACUCAUUGCCAUCAAUAAGGAUUGUACUUAUAUUAUAGAGAAUCUUAAUACUUUGUUCAACAUUAUCCAAAGAAGCCACAAAAUCAAAAAAUGAGGAGCACAUCUGUCAAAGAAGACAAUGUGUUAGAAAACAAAUUUGUCUAGCUACAAUAGGGAUUGUGUAGCUAGAAUCUUAUACAAUUUUAAAUGAAGAUCAUAUCUUCUACUCAAAAACCUCUUCUUAUUUUAUAAUAGAUAUACAUUUAGGAUCUAAUAAUUAUAAAGCCUUUGCCCUGAUAGAUUCAAGAGCCUCAGCUUAUUUUUUAGACGUAGAAUUUGUUAAAAGUCAUAAAAUACCAUUAGUACAAAAAACCAAACUUGUUCAUGUAGAAAUCAUAGAUGGUCAUCCGUUGUCUUUUGGAGAUGUAAUUCAUCAAAUACUUCCUAUAGAUGUAGCAAUAAAUGGUCAUAGUAGUUGCAUAAUCUUUAAUAUAAUUAGAUCUCUCUCUAAUCUAGUUAUUUUAGAUUUAUUAUGGUUGAAAAAAUAUAAUCUUUGCAUAGAUUGGAUUUCUCAUACUCUUGAUUUUUCUAAAAGCAUAAUAAAGAGUAAAAUUAAUCCAAUAGAAAGUCAUAAGUCUAGUGCAAUUAAACCUAUGUUUAUAUGUGAAAGAGCUUUCUUGCAUGUUGUAAAAGAAGGAUCACCUUAUGUCAUUUACGAUACAUCUGUUUCUAAUGAUGCAAAGACUUCAAGUGGCAUUUCCAACCAAUAUCAAGAAUUUCAAGUUGUAUUUGAAAAGAAGAAUGUGGAUACUCUUCUAAAACAUCAUCACUAUGAUUAUUCAAUUGACAUUCAUGAAUGAACACAACUGUCAUUUGGAUCAAUUUAUAGUUUAUUACAAAAUGAAUUGAAUGAACUCAAGGAAUAUAUUGAAGAAAAUUUGGUCAAGAAUUUCAUAUGCCAUUCCAAAUUACUAGUAAGAGGGCCAAUUUUAUUUGUGAAGAAGAAAGAUGGAUCAUUGCGGAUGUGUAUUGAUUAUCAAAGAUUCAAUAAGAUCACCAUCAAGAAUAGAUACCUUCUACUUUUGAUAUCUAGACUUCUGGAUCAAAUAAAUCAAGUUAAGAUCUACACAAAAAUAAAUCUAUGGAAAGCAUACAAUGUAGUACGCAUUAAAGAAGGAGAUGAAUAGAAGAUUGCAUUUCGAACUAGGUAUAUGCAUUUUGAAUAUAACAUCAUGCCUUUUGGGCUUACAAAUGCACUAGCGACUUUUCGAUAUCUAAUGAAUGAUGUUUUUCAAGAAUUUUUAGAUAAUUUUAUUAUUUGUUAUCUAGACGACAUCUUGAUCUAUUCUAAGAACAUAGAUGAAUAUAAACUUCAUAUUUAUUGUAUGUUACAAAAAUUAAGAGAUACGAAACUGUAUGCCAAAAUAUAAAAGUGUAUAUUCUAUACUAUUCAAGUCGACUUCUUACGAUAUAUCAUUUCAAAUGAUGGACUUAUGAUGGAUCCUUAGAAAGUUCAAAUAAUUAUGGAUUGGAAGAUUCCAAAAAUGAUAAGAGAUAUCCCAUGCUUUUUGAGCUUUUCCAACUAAUAUUGGAUCUUUAUCAAAGACUUUUCUCGAGUUGUAGCUCUACUUACAUGUUUGACUUGCAAAGACAAACUUGAAUAGAGCAAAGAAUGUGAAGCAUCUUUUGAAACUUUGAAGUUAGCCUUUAUUUUUAUACCAAUCUUGUAUUGCGUCAACUUUUCUAAGGCAUUUUUCAAGGAAAAAGUUACAUCAGACUUUACUUUGGGUGUCGUAUUAUUAUAAAUGGAAACAAAUGAUAAAUUUCAUCAAGUAGCUUUUCAUUCUAAAUUUUUUUCAAUAACCGAGAUUAACUAUGAAAUCCACGACAAAGAACUUCUUGUAAUCAUGGAUUUGUUUCAAGAAUGGCGUCAUCAUCUAGGAGGCGCUUCUAAUCCAAUCACCGUAUAUAUGAAUUAUAAGAAUCUUGAGUACUUCAUGUCAACACAUGUUUUAAAUCAUCGCCAAACCUAUUGGAGCAUGUCUUUAUCAAGAUUUGAUUUCAAGAUCACAUAUCGACUUGAAAAACAACAAGGUUUAUUAGACGCCCUUUCUAGACAUUCUUCUCUUAUAUCGAAAGAUGGAGAUGUAUCUUUUCAUCACCAAAGAAUAAUUUUCCUAAAGCUAGAGCAUUUUCAUCUUUGACUAAUGAAAUCAACAUUGACUAUUGAUUCGACUUUUGUGAAACAAAUCCAAUGAAGUAUGUCUUCUGAUCCUCUUGUUCACAAUAUCAAGAAUCCUUCUUUUAAAUCCCAAGAUACUUCUAAGUUUGAAAUCAAAAACAACCUACUUUAUUUUAAAGGUCAAUUAUAUGUUUCAAAAGGAAAAGCCUGCUUACGUAUUCUUUAAGCACGUUAUAACUUUUGCGCAACAAGAUAUUUUUGAUAUAAUAAGACUUUAGAGCUUAUAUCUAGAGAUUUAUGGUAGCUUCAAAUGUAGAAAGAUAUAAAAAACUUUGUUCAAUCAUGUGACAUUUGUUGAAGAUCAAAAACUCCUCGUCAUCAAUCUUACGGACUUCUUCAACCAUUACCUAUUCCAUAACAACCAUAGUCUUCUGUUUCUAUGGAUUUUAUUAAGGAUCUUCUAAUCUCAAGUUCUUAUGACUCUAUAAUCGUGAUAAUAGAUCAUUUUAUUAAAAUGGAACAUUUUGUACCAUGUACAAAAUCUAUCACAGAUGAAAGAAUAGCUAAAUUCUUUCUUGACAACAUCUAUCGCUAUCAUAGAUUACCCAAGGAUAUUAUAUCUGAUAGAGGAACUCAAUUUGUAUCAAGAUUUUAGUGAACUCUUUUUAAGAUUCUAAAAGUAGAUAUAAAACUAUUUUUGGUAUUCCAUUCUCAAAUUGAUGGAUAAAUGAAGUAUGUUAAUCAAGUUUUGGAACAAUAUUUAAGAUAUACCAUCAACUACCAACAAGAUGAUUAGAUAAUUCUUUUGCCAUUGGCAAAGUUUGCUUAUAAUAAUAUAGUACAUUUUUCUACAAAACAAACACCUUUCUUUAUCAAUUAUGGUUAUCAUCCAUGACUUGAUACUUUUGACUUUUCAAAAGUUGAUAAUCAUGUGACGAAAGAUUUGGCAAAUCAUUUGUUAGAGCUAUAUGCAACAAUGAACGUAAAAUUAAAAGAAACUCAAGAACAACAAAAGAUCAAUGUGGAUGUCUAUCGAAAGGAAAAACCAUCAUUCCACAUGUGUGACAAGGUAUGGUUACUUUGUCGUAAUAACAAGACUACUUGUCCUUCUGAUAAGUUGGACUAUUGUAGGCUUGCACCAUUUCUUAUUUUUACACAAAUCAAUGCAAUUGCAUAUCGUUUAUACCUAUUGGAGUCAAUGAAAAUCCAUCCAGUAUUCUAUAUGUCUCUUUUUGAACCAUACAAGAUAGUGGACAUACCAAGAAGAAGACAAGCUCCACCUCCUCUUAUAGAAGUGGACAAUAAUGAAGAGUUCAAAGUGGAAGAAGUCUUAGAUUCAAGGUGGCACCAAAAUAAAUUAGAAUAUCUUAUCUAUUGGUGCGGAUAUGAUAUUAGUGAAUGCACAUGGGAGCUAAUAAAGAAUCUUAUAAAUGCAACAAAGGUAGUGGAGGCUUUUUAUUGACGACAUCUACAUGAAAACCUUUUAUAUAAAAGAAACAAGAUCUAGAUAAGAUAAUAUUUUACUUUCAAUCCUUGUUUAUAGCUUGUUUGUAGUUGUGACGUUAAAGAGAUGGAGAAUCAAUAAUCAACGGAUUUGACUGAAGAGCCUUUAUUUACUGAUGUGUCAGACGAGACAUUGCAAUUGUCACAACCUUCAAGAUGAUGCAAUUGAGAUGAAGAUCUUCAAGAACAACAUAUUUUUUUUUGAAUAAAUGGUGAGAUACAACACGUUUGGUAUGACGAACUUAGAAGAAACUCCUGAUGUUUGGUAAUUUUAUUAGAGAUAGGAACAACUUCUGACGGUGUUCCAAAUAUUUUAUGUGAAGAAAGUUAUGAAAGCCUCAACAAUGAUUAAAUACCAGGGUGGUAUUUUCGCCCUGAUCUGGGAUACUAUCGAUGAUUGAGAGGCCUUAUCAACCAUCUUCGAAGAGAGAAAGAUCUAAGUAUGUGGCAAAUACAAUUUGUCACAUCAUUGAUUUUCUCUACAUAUGAUGACCGCUCCUCGUGGAACUCAUCCCUAGAAGGAGGGAUAAUGUCCUGGACAAACACGAGUAAGUUAAUAAUCACAUGUAUAAAUAGGUAGAAGUAAAUAAAAGUAAAUAAAAGUAAAUUAAUUCUACAAUAUCUUCUAUAGAAGCUUUCUAGAAGUUCUAUAGAUGCUGCUUUGACUUUAUAGGUGUCUAUAAUCGACUUUUUGGAUUAGAAAAGUGAUCAACAAGUUGAUCAUGUGCCGCACAUGUUGUUAGCUUGAAGACCAAGCUAAUCAUAUGGCCCUUAUGUAGAAAAACUUGCCUUGUAAGUUAAGGCAUGUGACUUACAAAGUCAACACAUAUUAGAGGUCUUAUUGAACAUUCUCACAUAGCUCCUAGUUAGAUAGUAUAUAUAGAGACAAGAGUGAAGCCUUCUUCACUCUUAUCAACUCUUUUCUUGCUUCUAGCCUAGUUUUAAGAAUCUCAAGUUUCCUUGUCUUGGACAAUAAGCCAUUCCAAUUUCUUUUUAAUAUACAUACUUCUUUAUUUCUAUUUUGUUAUUCUUUCUUUGAUACAAAUUUUAUUGGUUUAUGCAUCAUCUUUUAGUUCAUGUCCUUGACACUUGAUUUGAUUGAAUCAUUUAUAUGUUAAAAAAAGCUGAAGUAGUCAAUACAUAUUUACAAAGUUGAUGUUAGUUACUUUUGGAAUAAAAAAAUAUCAACAAUCAAAAUAUGUCUAUUAUGCCUUUGGCACAACAAUAACCAUUGUAACUUCAAAAGACAAAGAUAUGACUUCUAUCCACCCUUGUUAUAUUGAUUUGUAUUUUUUUUACAUUUACCUAAAAAAUAAAAUUGUUGGAUUCAAUGCUAUUUCAAAUUUUAUUUAAAUCAAAUUAUUAGAAUAAUAUCUCAAAUUCAAAUUAUAUGUAGAUUAAUAUUUGUAUAUAGCCACUAUAAACUUGAUUGUAUCUAUGAUAUAUUUGUAGAUUGUUGCAAAAGUAAAAUAACUCAAAUAUGCUAAAUGCAAAUAUUAUGUUUGCAACCUUUGCAAUUUUUGUAAAGAUAGAUAUUUUGUUAUUGCUUCAAUAAUUUCAAACUAUAUUUUGGACAAAAUUGUCUCAAAUGAUUUGUUGCUUUGCACAACUUGCCUUUUAGAUGAUGAAUUAUUGGAUUUUCAAUCUCACUAUUAUAAAUGCAAGCUGCAAUAGUUGAAUACAAAUCUUUAACUAUCAAAAUGUGAUUGUAGCAUACAUUGAAUUCAAUGUUUAUAUGAUAGUUCCAAUAUAUUUGUCAACAUACAUGUGUAGGAGGAGUUUUUAACAUCCAACAGAACUUUUACAUAUUUGAAUUACUCAAAGAAAAGAUUUAGAGGAUAUAUAGACACAUUUUAUAACAUUUGUGAAAAAACCAAUAUUAUGUUAAUAAUAUUCAUUGGUUUGUUUCAAGUUCGUUUGUGCUCUUUUGUAUCUAAAGAAAAUUUGAUCCUUCAAAAAUCACAAGUUUUACACUUAAGAAGAUAAUAGUUAAUUCUUAAUACAAGGUAUUUUUCAAAAGCUACUAAUAAUCAAUACAACCAAAUUUAGAAAGUUUCUAUGACAUAUUUUCAAAAACUAACUAGAGAAUUGACUUGAUUCUUUAUUUCAUGCAAUGUUAACAGAUAUUAGUUGUAAUAGUUUAUCCCUCUUAUUUUUUCACAUGAGACUUGAGAAGCACGGCCUAGAGAAGGCUUUUUAUUAAACUUUGGACGUCAUAGAAGCACAGAGCAGAAAAGCAAACCGUUUGGGCCACGUGGGAGAGAGAGUUAGUGUCACGUACUCGAAUGGCAUGAAGAACGUGUGCUUUGAAAUGCCGAUGAAGAUUAUCCAUCAUCCUCCAGCAUGUGCCUUGCCUGGUAUUCUUUUAAAUAAGUCAUCCAUCCCCAGGGACCAGAAGGGAUAACUUUGGAGAAAGGUGAAGAAGAAGAAGAGGAUGGAGCCACACGAAGCUGGCGAUGGUGGGGGACGGGGAAGGGGGACGGGCACGGCAGAGGUCCGUCGGGCACCGAUUUAGGGCUGGACCAGGAACCAGAAUAGUGGUGCACCAGGUAUCGGAGGAGGAGGAGCGAAGGGUGGAACGGGAACAGCAAUGACGACGACGACGACGCGAUUAGGGUUUGGAGGGAGGGGGACAUGCCAGCCCUGACCUCAACAGCGCCUUCCCACCCACGCCCCUCGGCCAUGGACACUUUGUAUUGCACCAGCUCGCGCUUCCUGAUCUAUCGUCUCUGCCCUCUUCUGCCUCUCAGCUCUCUGCCCCCUUUGUCACUUCCUCGCCGCGCCCUUCCUUCCUUCCCUCACCUUUCUUCUUCUUCUUCUUAUUCCUCCUCACCUCCUCUCACUCCUCGUCAACGCGCUCGCUUUGCCUCCCUCUCGCGUAAGCCCAUGGCUGCCGUGGAGGGAGCCGCCCCUGCUCUUGCCCCUGGUGCUGCUCCUGGGCUGGACUUGGAGGAUGUCGGAAUUGGCAGCGUGCGACAGCAGGUCGUGAAUCUAGUGAGAGAAGCGUUGGCUACCACUGUGCCAGAUGUGGAAGACAUUGAGCCGCAAGUGGCGGUUUGUGGUAAUCCCAAGAAUGGAGACUAUCAGUGGUGAGUAGUGAGUGGCAUGAGAGUGAAACCUGUAAAGAGAGGGCUUUCGGAAUCGGCGAUUGUGAAUUUGGAGGGGGAGGGUGGGUUUAGGAGGGGUUUUAGGCACAGAUUAAAAGAGUGUAUCUCGUCUUUGAGGACGUGGUGCAUCUUGCAUUUUUGCGAAAUAAAUUGAUGGAAAGUGACUGGGUUACUGGUUCAGUAGGAAGUACUUAUUUUGAAGUGUUAUUCCCGAAAAGAAAUUUGUUUCGAAAUUCGGUCGCGGGAACCAGUUUACAAUAAACAUUAUCGUAGUGCAUUGCGUUGCGUUGGGUGGUGUAGAACGUGUCCUUAAGUCAGUUUGAUGACCUUAUGGAUGCAGUAACAACGCAAUGGGGAUCUGGUCGAAGAUUAAGGGGAAGAAUACUUCUUUCAAAAACCCUAACGCCAUUGGACAGGCAUGUUUUUAAACCCUUCGCACUUAAAAUUUUAAGUGGCUUGAUAUAAGAGCCUUAACAUUUUGUGUGAUGUGCUUCCGACCUCGGUGAAUUGUGCAAAUUGAUGAGAGAACAGACUUUGUCGCAUUUAUGCAGGCUUUGGCAGGGAGUUUGCCUCGCUCAUCAUUGACAGAUAGUGUGUCUGUUGCUGGGCCUGGCUUUGUUAAUAUCAAGCUGUCGGACAGGUGGAUUGAGAAGGUUAGUGGUUAGAAAUGCUGUUCCAUGAGAUAUUGUCCAGCAUACUAAUCGUAUGUAUUAGAAUGUAAUUAGUAGUAAAUAAAAUGCAUCAUAUGCUGGUUUAUAAAAAAGACACUUGUAAUGUUUCGCAGGAAUGUCUUUUCAAUAUUUGGCUCGUUGUUUACAUGUUCAAAUUAGUUGUCACGAUAUUUGUUUACUCACAUCAUUUGCUUUGAAGUCUUCAACCAGAAACACAGAAAUUCUUCUUAUCUGACUUGAGUGUAUGGAUAAUUAUCAACCUCUGCUUGAAUUCUACACAUCUUGAAAUUUUCAGAAACUUCAUCAAUUAUUGUCACAUGGAGUUGGAGAAUGGGCGCCUGCGCUGUCCUACAAGCGAGUAGUGGUUGACUUUUCAUCUCCGAAUAUCGCAAAGGAGAUGCAUGUCGGUCAUUUGAGGUCUACAAUCAUAGGCGACAGCCUUUGUCGGAUGUUGGAGUACUGUGGCGUGGAAGUAUUGCGAAGGAAUCACGUCGGUGAUUGGGGAACUCAGGUUGGGCGAUUAAGGUUCAAAAUCCCCUUUGACAUGUAUUAUGACUAUCAUACUGAUUUGAAUCUUUAAUCUUGUCAGAAUGGUUAUGUGAAUUUGCAACACAUCAAUUGUUGAGCUAGUCAUGGGAAAUCAGGAUCUUUUGAGCCCGAAAGGAAAUAGGAAUGUUUCUGGGAAGAAAGUUCGAUGAUAAUUUUGGGUUGGCGAUCCUGAAUAUUAUUUUGGGUUUGCCAGUUUGGAAUGUUGAUCGAGUACCUGUUUGAGGAGUUUCCUAAUUGGGAGGAGAUUGGUGAUCAAGCAGUUGGAGACUUGCAGGUGAACUCUUUUUCUGUUCCUCCGAGAAGAGUGAAUGUUCAUGUGGUCUCUGCGUGCUCUUUGCGGUUGCACUUUCUCAUGCUGACUUCAUUAGUGCAACAUUCACGAUUUUAAUCACUUCGAUUCGCCCUCUAAUUCUAGGAUGGUGUGAAACAUGGUCACAUUGUCCUUGAAUUAUGCUUAUAACCUGUUUGUAAAUCGUGCUCUUAAGAUAAAAUAGGACAAGCAUGCUGUGUAUUCAACCUCCUAGUCUUGAUGAUAAAGAUUUUGUGCAGGAUUUUUACAAGAAAGCAAAAAUCAAGUUCGAUGUUGAUGCUGCUUUUAAAGAAAAAGCUCAGAAAGCCGUCGUGCUUCUUCAGGUGCCGAAACACCUCUUGGUUUAAUGAUUUUAGUCGAUUUUGGUGGGACUGUAGCUUGUUUUCCUAGAGUUCUAUGUCUACAGAUGAAUUAGAUGAAGCUGCAAAGCACCUACUGAACGAAUUCAAUAGAGGACAUAGUUGCGCUGACUAUGAAUUGGUUUGUCAGGGAGGUAAUCCACAAUACCGAGCAGCGUGGGCAAAGAUAUGUGAUGUGAGCCGAAAGAGUUUUGAUCAAGUCUAUAAACGACUGAAAGUUACCCUGGAAGAGAAGGUGACGUAUUCGUCUUUGAUCUUCAGUGCCUCUUCAUGCUUCGUUUUUUUAAACCAGUUGUACUCCAAGUCAUAUUGCAGUUCUUAAGGAAGGUCGUGAAUUUCAUGGUGAGUGUCCACUGAAUACGUUUUUCUUUUUUGGGUUGGACUUUCCGUUUGCAGGGUGAGAGUGCAUACAACGAGUACAUUCCAGGUGUGGUUGAGGAGCUGAAAGGAAAAGGGCUUGUAGAGGACAGUGAGGGUGCUAAAGUCAUCAAAGUUUCUGGCCAAACCAUUCCUCUUAUAUUGGUGAAGAGUGAUGGCGGUUUCAAUUAUGCCUCUACAGAUAUGACUGCUAUGUGGUAUGUCCAAGAGGUUCCCUGAUAGUUGCUUGUUCUGUAUGCUCCUGGGAUUCUUUAGUGUAUGAUCUGUUUCAAAGCGUGUCUCCCGUCUUCCUUAUACAUUUUCUCUUUCUUUUGCGACUCUAUCUCCCCAUCAUGGUGUAUGACUUGAUUAACUACAUGUGCAGGUACCGUUUGAAUGAAGAAAAGGCUGAAGUGAUGGUAUAUGUUACAGAUGUGGGUCAGUCCCAGCAUUUUGAUAUGGUCUUUAAGGUAACUGCCGAUAAUCACUACCUUCAUUGAUAUGUUGGUUUGAACAUUUCCUUUGUUGAUUAAUGACAUGACUCUUUAUCUUGAAGGUUUGAAGAGGAGCGUAUUAAUCACAUCUUGCUAAUCAGGCAUUCACUUUGCGCUCUUCUUUCAGGCAGCUAAACGUGCAGGGUGGUUGCCAGAAGAUGAAUCCCAACUUCCACGAGCCAGGCACGUUGGGUUUGGUCUAGUGCUUGGUGCCGAUGGGAAGCGAUUCCGAACUAGAAGUACUGAGGUUGUUCGCCUUGUGGAUCUUCUUGACGAAGCCAAGGAUCGUAGCAAGCAGGGGCUCGUCGAGAGAGGUAAUUUCAGUUUUGCGUUGCUUACUAUGCUCACGUCGGUUGUUCACAGUUUUUUUUUUUUUUUUUUUUUUUUUUUUUUUUAUGCAUUUGGAAGGUGCCCAUAUUUCGAGUAGAAGACCUAGGUAAAAAUAACUCACGUUAAUCUGUUGAUGUGAUUUGACAGCAUUUGAAGAAUGGCUUGUAACUAUGUGGUUUUUUCCUUUCAGGACGUGAAGGCGAGUGGUCUGCCGAGGAGCUAGAGGAAGCUGCAGAGGCUCUGGGCUAUGGCGCCAUUAAGUAAAUCUUCUCUCCAAAUAGUUGUUUCCUAAGUAACAUGAUUCUGUCUUGAUGUCAUUCUGAUAUGUUAAUCUUCUAGACCUGACAUUACUUGUGGAUCUAUGUAGAUAUGCGGAUUUGAAGAAUAACAGGUUGACAAAUUAUACCUUCAAUUUCGACCAAAUGUUGGACAUUCGGGUGAGCAUUUUUGAUAUGUCUUUGCGAUUGAGCUCUUUUGUGUAAGGGUUUAUCGUGAUUCAAGAUGUAUUUGUACUAGUAUUUGCUUUGUGAUUUUGUGACAGUUACUGAGUUUGUUUUUACAACCGCUACAUUUUCACUUCGAAUUGUUCUGAGAUUAGAAUAAUGAUGAGGCUUUCCUGGCAUGUUGUCUACAUCAGCACUGAAAUAGUCCUUAUGAACUCUCGAAAACUGAUGGAUAUUGAUUCAGAUCGUAACUGGAUUGACAAUUUCAGGGCAACACAGCAGUCUAUUUGUUGUAUGCUCAUGCCCGAAUCUGCUCCAUAAUUCGAAAAUCUGAAAAGAAUGUCGAGGAGCUCAAGAAGGUAAGUCAUUUGGCUGCCAUAAUAGAAUAAUUAUAUGUGUAUGCUUUGAAAGGUUAAACUGUUGAACCGCUUUAAGGGCUCAGUAGCUGCAAUGAUUAUUGGAAUUCUCCUUGUUUGUAUUUCCAGUCGACAUGCAAACUGUCGAAGUCAAUGGCUCAUUUGCAUAUUAUCUUCGUUACCCGUAUGGCUGUCAUCGACCACAGGCUAGUUAGUCUGUAAAUUGGGUUGGCAUUCUUGGGUUGGGUGAUUUGUUGAAAAAUAAUUUCACAGGGUGAUUUAACUUACCCAUGGUAAUACCUUGAUAUGAAGUCAGAUCUCCAGAUUUUUCAAAUUUGUUCAUUAUCCGAAAAUUCAAUUCAAUUCAAUUUAAUUCGAGGUUUGUAGGAUUUUGGUUUAAGGGUCGGAGUCCUCUUUAUGUUGCUUACGCAGACUGGACAGAUGAAGCUACAACAUCCAAGUGAGAGAGCAUUGGGUUUGCAGUUGAUUCGUUUUGGCGAGGUACAGUACUUCCCCUCUUUUCCCAUCCUUUCCCGCCGAGUUCUUGUGCUCUAAAACUCGUGUUUUGAAUAGUCGAGAGGAAUCGUGGAAGUUAAGAGUGUAGUAUAGCAUUUGCGACCAGAGUUCAAGCAAGUCUGAAACUCCUGCGUUAUUACUCUUGUGAGAUCAAUAUCGACCAUUUAGUAUUUGAUUAUUGUUUAGAGUUCCAAUUCAGCAUGAUUCGACUAUGCGAGUUGCACUCCGCACUUCGAGCUUAAUCGAGAUAUAGCAUCUUACACUGCUUUAUGUUUUCAUGUUUUUAGUUUGUGGAAGAUGCUGCUUCGGACCUUCUUCCAAACGUUCUGUGCGAGUAUCUCUACACUCUUUCGGGAAUGUUCACAGAUUUUUACACCAACUGCAAAGUAAGCUACUACUUGGGACUCUCGUUGUAUAUGUCGAUUUUUACGCAAAAUUAAUUUUGCAACGUCAAAGAAUUUUUUUGUGCCACGCUAAGUGUUCAGUUUAUUUUCAGGAAUUAGAGAGAUUUCCUCAUUUUAUUUGAAUUAUACUGGGUUGAAAUGUCCUUGAUCUUUGGAUUCUGGUGUCUUUUUUGUAGGUUGUCGGCUCUGAAGAGGAAACUAGUCGACUGUUGCUAUGCGAAGCUACUGCAGUCAUAAUGCGGGAAUGUUUCAAGCUUCUUGGUAUCGAGCCUCUAUACAGAUUAUAAUCGUAUUAGUUCAGGAUCAGCUAGAUCUAUGUGGAAUAUCCAUUAGGUUCGGAAUUGCUUGGUAUUUAACAUGCGCCUUAUUUAUAGGUUUGCCUUGCGGCAGCAACAUCACGGAGCUACCGAAAUUUAACUUUUUAUGGACAUGUUGAAGCUGACACUAUUCAUUGAUGUUCACAUAAUACAUCCAUUAUAUGUCAGUCGAUUUUCUGGGUGAAUCCGGUUGCAAGUCUAGUGUACUGUAGUUCUGUGGAACCUAAAUUCUUCGCUGCCGUGACUCUACUCACGUAAGGUUUCGAAGUUUGUUCGACUUCAAAAUGUUCUGUAGCCUGACUUUCAUAUAUGUGCGAUAACACGUGGUCAUGAAAUACAAUGGAUCUUUGGUUUAUGUUGUCACAGUGUAUGGGAGUGAGUGGCACAUGUAAACCAAUUGAUUUUGACUGUUUGCAUAGAAAAUAUGAAGGAUUCUUGAAUUUUGUAUUUUUGAACUCUUUAUAUCAGACCAUUUGAGACAUAAGGUUUAUGACCCAUUUCUAAGUCCCAACAUAAGACAAUUUGGCUAAAAAAUGGAAUUUAAAUAGAUGUUUUAGUUAAAGAUUCUCUUCAGUCCAUUUCUAACAUGUACACCAAUCUAAUUUUGAUCACAUGCCAACUUAAUUCUUAUUAAUGGUGGGUUACAAAAUUACGAAUCCAACUUUGGCAAAACCAAGAAGUGUUAUUUCUAAUCAAUAUGGAUGUCAUACCUAGUCAUUGAAUUAAUAGAAUUAGCUAGGUCUACAUGUUGGAAAUGGAGGGGUGGUCGACAAUGGGUCUGCUACCUUAUUUGGUGGCUACCAUUUCAUUAACAAGACAAUUUCCGUACAAAAGAUCAUAAAAUAGAGAUUUUCUUUUGUAAAUGGCUUAAGCCAUUGGAAACUCAUUAGCUUAAAAAUCUAGGUUCAAAUAACUUAUUUGUGUAAUAAUAUAGCUACAGGCACAAUAGUAGUUAUUGAUGUAGAUGUGCUGUAUCAUCUACCAACAAUAUAUGUGUAAUACCUUUAAGAGGACCACUGUGCUUUCAAAAUAACAAAAGUAGACUCAUGAAUGACAAUUUUGUUCAAUAAUAAUUAUUGCACCUAUGCAAAAUUUAAUCCUUUUCUAAUUACUAAAAUUAUUUAUUUUUAAAUUAGAAAAAUAAUCAUGUAUAUAUAUAUAUAUAUAUAUAUAUAUGCAUAUAUAGAAUAUAAAUUACAUUCUUUUUCGAUGAAUUGCACAAUAAAAUACCUAUAUUAUUUGUAAAAUCAAUAACAUCAACAUUAAAAUAUGAAAAAAGUAAUUAAUUGAAUUAUGUUAGUAUGUAAAAGUUUGUAUGCAUAUAAAAAUGAAUAAUAAUAUUUAUAAAAGUGAAAAAAAGAUAAAAAUAAUAAUAAAAGUAACAAAAUAAAGAAAUAAAAUAAAACAUAAAAUAAGUAAAAUUUAAUUUGAAAAUAAAUAAAAGAAAAAAUUAAAAAACUAAAAAAUACAAAUCACAAUAUAAAAUAUAAAUUAUAGUUGAUUUAAUGUAAAAUUGUGAAAAUAAAAGUAAUAAGGUAAAUUAACGUAGAAUUUAUUAAUCAUGGAUGUGCUUUGCUUGAGGCUAGCAACCCCAUUAUUGUGUCAUAUGAAAUCUAACUUAGAAAUGAACUAGACAUUUAGUUGUGGGCAAAGUUUGAUCUUACAUUGAGCUUUGAUUUACAAUCCAAAACAAUGCAUAAGGUAUUUAGAAACAUCUUUGGGCAAUCCUAAAUAAGCUAAGUAAGCUUCUAAGUAUCUUAAGUACAUCCUAUCAACCUUAGAAAAAUCUAAGAUAUAUCUUAUUAUAUUCUAAUUAAUUUCAUAAAAACCCUAAAAAAUCUUUAACACACUUUAAUUAAAUCCUAUUCAUACUUUAGUCCAAAAUUAAGAUUUUUAUAACUUGUAAAUUCUUUGAAAUUCUAAUUAUUUUAAGACACUUAUUCAUUAUCUAUGUAAUAUUCAGGAUUAAUACCAAAAUUUUUAAUUAACACUUAUGCAAUUUGGAAAUAUUUGAAUUAAUUUUUAAGUAGAAUUAUCUACAAGAGAUAUAUAUAUUCUUCUUUUAUAAUUUUUUUUCUUGUUAUUUUUUGUAUAAAAUCGCACAAUUUCAAUUUUUUUGCUUAUUAUUAUUUUUUGUUUGUAUUGAAAUGUUGGUCAUAUUAUUCAACAUCUUCUACUUGUAAAUGUGUUGCUGUCUAUUUGUUUAUCCUUUGGACACAACAUAAUUCAAAGUUUAUGUUAAUUAUUUAUACUUACAACUUUACUUUACUUCUAAUGAAAUAUAGAUAAAGAAUAUUAAUCUGUUCAUAAAAAGAAUUAAAAAUUUCUAAAAUUAUAAGUUUUUCAAAUAGAUAAAAGAAGCUAAAUCAAAUUGUAUUCUUUCUUCACUUUUUUAUGAAAUAAAAUGAACUAUAAAAUGUUAAAAAUUAUAAAAAUCACAAAAAGUAUUUAUUCAUUGAAAUUGAUUCAUACAAAAAUAAUAACAAAAAUUUCACUACAAUAAAAAAUUGUUUGAUUUUGAAGUUAAUGUUUCUUUUUAGUGUUGAAUACAUAUAUCAUUCAAUUUUUACUAUUUAAUCAUAUUCCACGUAAAUCAUAACCUUGGUGUGUAUGGAAAUUUUAUAAAUUACUCGAGAUUAUAAAUCAAGCGGGGUAGACCACAAGUAGUCGACAGGUGAUUGAAUUCAGUCAAUUGUUCUUUUUCAGUUUAUUCAAAUGGACACACAAAAUAUUCCCAUUUAACGUCAAACUAAGCACGACUGCAAUGACAUCAAUAGUUACUCCUUCAGAGUUUACAUGCGAGAUGGGAACUCAACUCUGGCCAAUUUAAACUGGUCUUGGAAGAGCAGACCAUAUUGGCGCAACAGCAUUUCAGUCAGACACCGGAUUCCCCAACGGACCCCGGAACAGUUACUCCCUUAACUAGUUAGAACUCAGAUAAACUCCGCACCUCCAAAACCUCGCUAUUGAAAGCUUUCCGAAUCACGAAAUUACAAACGCUACUCACAACUCAAUACCAGAACAGGCGCAACCAGUAAACAAAACUCAAGUUUCCCCUACAACAACAUUCAGUCACCAGUCCAAUCAUAUAAAAAUCAAAUAAAUGAACAAUAUGAAAAAUUUAAUUUCUCACUUCAAUUAUAGACUUCACCCUUUUUUUUAUUAAUUAUGUAACAAACAACGUUUUAAGAUUACAACCUAAAAUUGUCCUCUAUUCCAGCAAAUAUUAUCAGCUAAGCAAGAAAUAUUAAUUAUUGGAUAUUAAUUAAGCACAGUACCACUGUAUAUUUUAAGUAUAAUACCAUUUGAUUGAUUUCAAAAAUUAAUUGUCCAAAUUUUAACAUACCAGACAAUAAGGAAGUUUGGUGUUCCAAAAUUAGAUUUCGCAACCUGUCAACCACAUCGUACUGUACUAAUCUAUUGCCCUCAUAUUGUCAAUUCUCUCAUUGUAGAUCCCAGGAGCCAGUACUACCCACAAUCCAACCAAUAGAGUGUAGGUAAAUCGGGUUCAAACUGAACUAUCAAGCGAUGGUACUGAAAUCUUCAUUUUAUAAUGUGAAAUUGUUGUAAAUAGACAUUUCUCACUUCCCGUAAUUUUUAACAUUAAGUCUACAUUGUUUUCAACAGAACGGUCGAUGUAUGAAAACAAUACAGCAUACUAACGUUGAUGUGCGAAAGAAAUCAGUGUACGACACGAUCUGCAGAUUGUUACUAAAUUAGCAACCAGAAUACAGUUCCACAGUUAGCACGCUGGGGGCAUUAUUCAAUCCGUAGAAUUCAUAUCUGUCAAUUGUAAACAGACUGAAAAGAUUACAAAAUUCUUGGUUUUUCCAUUGAUUGUACAAAUCUUAGGUAGAACCACAUGUUUCAAUUGUAAUGAAAUGAGUAAAUUUUUUAUAAGAUAUUUCUGCAAGUAUGUCUCAUUUGUAAACUAAGAAUAUGUCCACACAUCACAGCCCAUAGAUUGAUCACAGAAAGGACGACCAACAAUCAGUCUGAUGGUUACAGCUUGCUGCUCUCGUGACAUAUGACUGGCAGCUUGUUAUGGUUGUUAGUUAAAGAAACUAUAAGAAUAUUUACCCUAUAAUAUUCAGGACAAAAUAAUCCUGACGAAAAAUGAUCUCGUAGGUCAUCACCUCUCAAAAAUGGGACAGACCCUCAAAUAGCUGUAAAGAACUGGGUGCUUGACGCCUGUAAUCUCCUGUGUCCAAGGACCGCAUCGGAACGCUUGGUGUCGAUUUAGUCGACCUCCUCGAUCUUGGGGCCAGCACCGGAUGGAGGAGAAUCACUUCCUCCGUACGGUGGUACAGGCCGCUCACCUCCUGCACCUCCUUGGUACAUCCUCGCAAUAAUGGGGUUGCAAAUCCCCUCCAAUUCCUUCAACUUAUCGUCGAACUCGUCGCUCUCCGCUAAUUGGUUCUGGUCCAACCAAUGAAUAGCAGCAUCGACAGCGUCCUCAAUUUUCUUCUUGUCGGCAGCGUCCAAGUUAUUUGCAAUCUUUUCGUCCUUGAUGGUGUUCCUCAUGUUAUAAGCAUAGUUUUCAAGCCCAUUCUUCGAAUCAAUCUUUUUCUUAUGAUCCUCAUCCUCGGAUUUGUACUUCUCAGCCUCCUGCACCAUCUUUUCGAUCUCGUCCUUGGACAGGCGGCCCUUGUCGUUAGUGAUUGUUAUCUUAUUUUUCUGUCCAGUGGUCUUGUCUUCAGCAGAUACGUUCAAGAUACCGUUGGCGUCGAUGUCGAAACACACAGUAAUCUGCGGUACACCGCGAGGGGCAGGGGGAAUGCCAGAGAGCUCGAACUUUCCGAGCAAGUUGUUGUCCCUGGUCCUGGCUCUCUCACCCUCGUACACCUGGAUCAACACUCCCGGUUGGUUGUCCGAAUAUGUUGAAAAUACCUGUUCCUUCUUGGUGGGGAUGGUUGUGUUUCUUGCAAUUAGCACUGUCAUUACUCCUCCUGCGGUCUCAAGUCCUAAAGACAAGGGAGUAACAUCCAAUAGCAGAAGGUCCUGCACCUUCUCAUUACCUUCUCCGGACAAGAUGGCAGCCUGGACAGCGGCACCGUAAGCAACAGCCUCAUCAGGAUUGAUGGACUUGCACAGCUCCUUGCCGUUGAAGAAAUCCUGGAGCAACUGCUGCACCUUAGGAAUGCGAGUGGAUCCACCGACCAACACGACAUCGUGGAUGGAUGACUUGUCCAUCUUAGCGUCCCUUAGACACUUCUCCACUGGCUCCAUACACUUCCUAAACAUAUCCAUGUUUAACUCCUCGAAUCUAGCACGAGUUAUGGUAGAGUAAAAGUCAACACCCUCGUACAACGAAUCGAUUUCAAUUGUGGUUUGUGCAGUCGAUGAGAGGGUCCUCUUCGCCCUCUCGGCAGCAGUCCUCAGCCUUCUCAGCGCACGAGGAUUGCUACCAAUGUCCUUCUUGUACUUGCGCUUAAACUCCUGCACGAAGUGGUUCACCAUUCUGUUGUCGAAAUCCUCUCCUCCUAAGUGAGUAUCUCCAGCGGUGGCCUUCACCUCGAAGAUACCCUCCUCAAUGGUCAACAAAGAUACAUCAAAGGUACCUCCCCCUAAGUCGAAAAUCAACACGUUCUUCUCGCCCACAGAAGUCGCCUUCUUGUCCAAGCCAUACGCGAUAGCAGCAGCAGUUGGCUCGUUUAUAAUACGCAGCACAUUCAAACCAGCGAUGACUCCUGCAUCCUUUGUCGCCUGCCUCUGAGAAUCAUUGAAGUAAGCUGGAACAGUCACCACAGCGUUCUUUACCGUGGACCCGAGAUAUGCCUCAGCAAUCUCCUUCAUUUUGAUAAGCACCAUGGAAGAUAUCUCCUCGGCGGCGAAAGUCUUCUCCUCACCCUUGUAUUGCACACUGAUCAUGGGCUUCUCUCCCGGCCCGGGGGUGAUCUUGAAUGGCCACAACUUCAUAUCACUCUGGACAGAAGCGUCACUAAAACGCCUUCCAAUUAACCUCUUAGCAUCUACAUUGUCCAUACAUACACGUCGAUCAGCAAAUUAUCAAAACAGAGGCACCUAGAACCGUAUCAUCAAACGCACGUCACAUCACGUCCGCGUCCUACCAGAACCAUAUCAUGAAACGGACGUGACAUCAUGUCCGCGUCCUACCACAAACUAGGUCUUCGAACACAAGAGAUACGAAAAACAACAGAGUAACAACCGAAUGCUGCAUAGAACCUGUCAAGGAUAGAAACGAAAGCUACGACAAAGAAAUGGGAAAAACUCACCGAAUACAGUGUUGAUGGGGUUCAUGGCCACCUGAUUCUUAGCAGCAUCACCGAUGAGACGCUCAGAGUCAGUGAAAGCCACAUAGCUCGGGGUGGUUCUGUUACCCUGGUCGUUGGCAAUGAUCUCGACACGAUCAUGUUGCCACACUCCGACGCAACUGUAAGUAGUACCAAGGUCGAUGCCGAUGGCAGGACCCUCGCCCUUACCAGCCAUAGCGGAAAGCACGAGCCGUAAAACCUGUCAGCAACGGCAGCUCUUACAGCGAACACGAACUCGGAAGCAGGGUGAACAACGCCGUCACGAGAAAGAAUGGAAUGGGAUGGGGGGGAGGAGGAGGAAGAUGAAGAGCUGGUGAACCACAGAGACUAUGUAAAAACGGCUUCAGAAGGUCCCCGAAGCCUCCAGAAGCUCUAAGAAGUGCAGGCCGGUACACUGGCCUCCCGUCCCCCUCCGCCCGGACUCCCGCCCGCCAUUUUUUGCUUUUUCCCGCGGUCACUUCUUAUACAUGGAAGAUAUUUGGGCGAGCAGUCGCCACACCCAGACUCCGAUGGAAAGGUGAUGUCCGACCAGUGCACUGUAACGAAAUUUCCUGCUGCUGACCUUUUUGGGCAUUGACUCGUAGUUCGAACACUCUCGUUCCCUCAUCGCCGUUCUUCGCUCUCCUGGUGUGUGUACACGUAUACCCAUCUACCGCAUUUUUCUACCGCCACUUGUGUCGCCUAGCAAACGGAAACGCCUUUACAAUAUUUGUAAAUAAAAAAAAUAUAUAUAUAUAUAUAUAUAUAUUUAUUUAGAAGUUUACUUGGAGAAGACACCAUUGUUCAUGUUGUGUAGGAAAAAAAUACAUUUUAUUUCAUCUUCUCUUCUUAAGGUCUUUAGAAUUAUUUUUUGUACUUCUAUUAUAUCAUGUAUUAUUAGCUUACUGUGUAACAUUCUUGAGUUCUAACUUAUAAACAUAUUGAAACUAGAUUCAAUUAUGUUUCUUGUGAUGAAAAAUUUGUCCCACCAUUUCAAAAAGAUAAAUUUGUAGUUAGGUUGUUUUUUGUCUUUUGAUAUAAGAUAUUUUAUCAAGUUUUUUUUGUAUUCGAUAAAACCUAUCUAUAUUAAUUUUAUAUCAUGUAGAUUAAUCUAUGCUUUGAUCUCAUUUAUUAGUUUGUUUUUUAAUUUAAAGUUGGAUUUGUAUUAUUUAUAUCCAUGAUUUUUUUAAUAAAGACCAAAUAUCAUAGAAAUUUUUGAAUCUAAAAAGAUAAUGCUUAUGCAAAGAAAUUUUUGAUUAAAAAAACUUUCUUUGAAUCCUAUUUCUAAGACUAGAUGAAAAUUUAUACAAAAAUAAAAUUACCUAAUUUUAAAUAUAUUGAAAUCUUUUAUAUUUCUAAAAUCUAUAUAUAAUAUAUUUUAUAUUAUACAAAAAAUCUAUAUAUAAUAUUUUCUUAAUAUAUUGGUAAAUAUAAAAUUAUUUUUUAUAUUAAUAAUUGGACUACCUUGUCUUUUUUAUAUAUUUAUGGCUACAUCUUGACAUAAAAAAAGUAAAAUUAAUAUUAACUUUUGCAAGAAUGGGGCCAAAAUUAAUCAUCUUGCUAAUUGAAAGUAAAAAUCUAAAUUUAUGAUAUAAUUUCAUUUGGCAUUAUUCAAGUCAAGUGGAGUUUAGUUCCUAUUGAUUAUAGAUCUAUCUGUUUUUUACACACAAAUGAUAACUCUAGCACUUAUAGAUCAAUAAUUUCUAUUAGAGUCACAAGUCAAUUUAUUUAUUAGUUUAAAAAGUAUCUUAAUAUUGUUUUUACCAUAAUACUUAAACAUUAUUUUUUGCAUUGCUAAAAUAAUUUUAAAAAUCCCUCUAAGUUAUUUUAGUAAAAGUAUCUUUAUUUUACUAAGAAUUAUUUAUUAUAAUAUGAUAUUAGUAAUUAAGUUCUAAUCUAAUUUUGUUUGAUGCUAAUAGAUUUAUAUAUGAUAAACCAAGAGUCUUCUACAAUAUCUUUAUGUUGGAUUAGGAGUUGAAAGACAACCAUAGAAAGAAAAUUAUUUUUAUUCUUAUCUAGACUUACUUAAACUUUGAAUUUAGAGAGUACAAUUCUGAUUCUAAUUAAUUAGAACCAUGAUUAUAGAAAGUAGAAGAUAAGUAUAGGCUACAAAUAUGAAUUUUAAAGGUAUAAUUUAUAUAUUUGAUCAACCUUAUCAAUCAAGAGUGGAUGGUGGGAUGUAUUAAAUAAUUCUUUUAUUCUAUGAAGAUCUUAAAUGAAGAGUAAAACCGCUCAAUUAGAAUCAAUAUAUCUACUUAUAAGUGAAACAUUUGGAUCCAACCAUAAAAUUUUAUUUUAAGUUCUAUACAAAAAAAAUUGCAGAUAUGUAGUCAAAUAAAUUAAAGACCAAAUAUGCCCAAACUUAUCCAAUGUUUUUUUUUUAACUUUUGGAACUUAUAUUCUAUUUUUAUUUCAUUGUAAAUGAUCAUUUAAAAUUUGGCCAGCAAACACUAUGAGUAAUAAAUUUUUCAUGUAUCAAUUCAUACUAAAGAAAUUAUUGGAUAUUAGAUAUUUUAGGUUGAAGAGCUCCAUUUGACUUUUUUGCAAAGAAAGCCUGUUUAGAAUCUUUUGGGACAAUAACUCCCUAUAUUCUUUUUGCCUUAAACAUAUAUAUCAUACUACCUAUGUAAUUUUAAUUUGAAUUAGUAAUUUUAUAUGACUCCAAAAAUACUUCUUAUUCAUUAUAUUAAUUUUAUGGAUAGCUUUUAAAAUUCCAUUUAAUAUGGCAAGAAACUAUAUAUAUAUAUAUAUAUAUAUAUAUAUAUAUAUAUUGAAAAUUAUUAUACCUCUAGUUAUACAAAAUUUUGAAGAGCACCAAGUAUAUAUUUUACAUUAGAUUUUUUUAAAUAAAAAAUAACAAACAUCCUAUUUUUUAAGAAUAAUCUUAAAGAGAUACUUGUAAGUUUAUUUAAAUUAUGUAGAGAUACAUAAGCCCACACAAAAGCUUUUUGUCUAUUAAGAUUUCUUUGUUUUAUUAUAUUGCUUAUAACUUUCAAAUUCUAACCAAUUUAUUUCUAUUCUUAUAAUGAAGAUAAAUUAUUUUGUAAUAUUAAUUAAUUUUUAUACAUUAAAUUCAUCACCUUUUACUACUAUAUUAGAAUCAUUUGUAUAUUAGCAUAUAGUUUUUUUUUAUAAGAUUUAUAAAAUAUGCCAAUGCCUUGUAAUAUUUUUGUCUUGAUUUUUUUUUCAAUUGAUACAUUUAAAAUUUAUUUAACACUAUUUUGAACUUACUAGGAAAAAUAAAGCAUCCAUGUCACACCUUUCUUGUAAUUGGAUUUUUUAAAAAUAUAUAAAUUUAAUUUUAUAAUAAUCUAAGCAUGAUUCUAUUUAUCCUAAGUACAUUCUAUCAACCUGAAAAGAAUCCUAGAUAUAUCGUAUUAUAUUCUAAUUGAUUCUAAAUAACUCCAAAAUAAUCUUUAAUAUAAUUUAAUCUAAUUUUAAUUAAAUCUUAAUAAAAUUCUAAAAGAAUUCUAAUCAAAUCCUAACCAAAUUCUAAUGAAAUCAUAAAAAUAACCUUAUCAAAUUCCAAUCCUAUGGUAGAUUCAAAAUUUUGAUAAUUAAUAAAUCUAUCUUUCAUCUUAACUCAAAAUUUGUAUACCUUUCAAUUUUUUAGUUGUUAGAAAGUGCAAUAAAUUUAAAGAAAACUCAAAUUACUAAAUGGAAGAAAAACCUCAUAAUUUACUUGGAUGUCAAUAGGCCUAAUUCUCCAAUCUUAAUGUUGAUCUUGUAGUACCAAUAUAUUUUUAUUUUUACCAUUUAAUUGCUCUCAAAAUUUUAAUUUUUGUUGGAAAUCAAAUUUGCUACUAGUAUGCAAAAUUUUAUCUCAAUCCAACUAAAAAAUUAUUGCAAAUCCUUCAAACCCUCUAACCCUCCCAACUCAAUUUUCUAAGACUUCAAUCCACUUGAAUUUCAAUAAUCUUUAGUUUGACCAUUUGAUCAAGUUCAAAAUUAUAAUAUAUAUUUAGUACAACUAUAGUUAUAAAUUUAGAAAAUUUCACUUAUAAAUCUACUACAAAUAUUUAAAAAUUAUUUGAAGUAUAAAUUGUUUUUAUUUCAUAAAUACUAAAGUCACCUCAAAAUAAUUCUAAUUUUUUAAAGCUCUUAUAAAGUCAUUAAAAACUCAAAUUAUUCAAAAUCAAUGUUCAAAAAUCUUGUUUCUUAUCUAUGCUUGAAUCAUUUUCUCAAAUCAACAAAAUAUUUUUGGAUUUUUUGUAAGGGCAUAGUUUUGUACCUUGGAAUUUGAUUUCAAUUCAAUUUCAUAACUGGUCCUAUUUGGAUAUCAAUAUCUAAUUUUUUAAAGUAAAACUUUUAGAAUUUAUUAUUUAUUUCUACCUUAAAAUAUCUAUGAUUCUAAUUUUUCUAUUCUACCUUAUUUUAUCUUAUUUAUGGCCUUACAAAGUAAAUAGAAGUCUAUUUUGCAAAAAGGUAGCAUUAACACUUAUUAGUUUUACUACCUCCUUGGCUAUUAUUUAUAUUUAUAAGUUAAUUUUCUAUUCUAUUUUUAAAUAAUAUAUUUUAUAAUAUAAACUUUUUCUUCUAUCUUUUAUCUAUUAGUUGUGUUACAACACAACAACAUAAAAGUGCAAACAUCUACUAUCAUUGUCUUUCUUUUGUACUAAAAUUGAAAACUUUGGAACAAUUUUUUAUGAAUCAAUCCAUGUUUAAUAUUUUAUUCAAAAUCCUCAAAAAUAAAAAUAAAAAGAAUUAUUAAUAUUUUAUAGUAUUUUAUUCCUACUACAAAUUAUAUAUUUUAAAUUAUAAUUAAUAUAAUUAUUUUUCAUCUUAAUAUUAUUUAUAGAGUGAUAAGUUUUAUUGAUUGGUGAUAUGCAUAAAAGUCAUAGUAAUUAUCUCAAGUAUGAGAUGAAUCAUAAUAACAUAAUAUAUAGGUGAAGAUUAAGCUUAAUUGAUUAUUUUUUCUUUUUCAAUAAAUAUUUUUAUUAAUGUACAUUAGUAAAAAAAAUUGUUUAUAUUUGUAGAAGACCUUGGUAUUUUUUAGUAAAAAAAGUAUAACAACUGUUCAAUUUUCUAGGUUAAAUUAUUAUCUUUUUAAUUGUUAUUAAUUUUUUGAAUAAUUUUCUAUCAGAUUCUAUUGUAAUUAGCUUUUAUAUUUCAAAGCUCAAGAAAUUAUUUAAAACUAGGUCAUAUAGGAUGUAUUGACUUAACUAUUGCUAAUUAUUAAUAAUUUUUGCAUACUAGUUUAGAUUUACAAACAAUUUCAUUAUUGCCUUAUAUGUAUAUAAGAUUAUAUUUUAAACUUAUGUUGGAAAAUCAAACCCCAUUUUAUUAAGACUAAAUCUACUUAAUCCUUAAAAUCCCUUUUUGUAUUGAAUUUCAUAUUUAUUUAUAAUAUAUAUAUAUAUAUAUAUAUAUAUAUAUAUAUAUAUAAUUUUUGGAACUCAAAAUUCUAAUUUCUUAUUUAAAAUAGUAUUAUAUAUAUUUUUUCUAAAUAUUUUUAUUAGAAUAAUGUUUUUAUUAAUCUUAAUUUUUUCAAUUAAAUCUAAUAAGGAGUUCUAGCUUUUAUAAGUGCAACUUCAUUUUAAAACUCUUAUAUAAAUUAAGAUAAAAUAUCAUAUCUAUCUUAAUGUUUUUCUAUUUUUUUGUUUAAUAGAUAUAUCUAAGUUAAUUUUUUAUUGAUCAUAUUUUUUUUAAUCUUUUUUAACUUGCAUAUUAAUAAUAUAUAUGUCAUUAAAAAUAAUGUUGUCAUUUGUUAUUUUGGAAUUAUUUAUAAUAAUUUCAUUUAAAUUCUUUAAUUAUUUUUUUCCUCUUUUAGAUAAUAAAUACUAUGUAUAUCUAUUAUUUUGUCUUUUUUAUAUUAUUAUUAUUAUUAUUAUUAUUAUUAUUUUACUAUAGCAUUUAACUACUAUAAUGAAAAUAUUUUUUUAUUUUAUUUUUUUUCUUAGUUUUAGAUAUAAAAUUUUAUUUUUGUUUAUUAAAAUUUGCCUUUAAAUUUAAAUUACAAGAUGACAUUCCUCAAGAUUUCCUUUCAAUUAGUAGUUUGAAGAAAGAAACUCAUUUAAUACUAAUAAAAAUAAAAAAUUAAAAAAAAAUUAAAAAAAUGAAAGAAGAAAAAUAAAAUAAAUUCACACUUCAAAUUAAGCUAUCAUAUAAAUAAAUAUUUUCAUACACAAUAGAUUGAGUGCUAAAAAUCAACAUCAAGUAUGCAAUCUAAACCAAAUAAGAAUGCUUAAGAAAUAUACUGUCAAAAAAAGAUGAUAAAUCUUAACACAACUUAGUCGAACUAUCUUUCAUACCACAAAGGUAGAAUCAAAGAGUAUAAGUAUGUAGAAAAAAUCCUAAAAAUUUACUAAGUGGUGAAAUUGCUAUAGCUAAGAAUUGUUUUAUAAACAUAAGUUUUUUCUUUCAAAAUUGCUCACAAGACAAUCUAACAAGAAUGUCAAGUCAAGGAAGUUUUUCUAUCUAAAUCCUCAAACUCUAGGGGAUACUAACAAGGUUAAAUAGUACAAAAUAUUAAAUAUAUGGAAAUCCACUAAAUUAAUCUAAAGUACAAUUAUCCAAUGUGAUUUGGCAUCUAAUACUACAUCACAUGAUAGUUAUUGUGUAAAUAAAGAUUGUUCUACACAACAUAUUAAGUGCUAAUAAUCAACAUCUAAUAUGCAAUCUAAACUAAAUAAGAAUGUUCAAGCAAUGUACUUUCAAGUGCCUUCUUAACUUAUGAAGAAACCCACCAAUCGACUAAAUUAAUAAUUCACAUAUAAUUGGAGAUGAAUGCCACAAUGAUAUUAUUACAAAAACUGUAUAUAAGUAAGUCAAUGUUAUAAUAGCUAGACCACAAAAAUAUAUGGCAAAUCUGAAAGAAGAAGUUUUCAACUCUUAUCAUCAUGUGAAAUAUGGUUGUAAAACUUCCUACAAUAACAAGAAAUCCAAUUUCUUAAAAGAAGCGACAAAAGUGGUGGUGUUAAGCAUGCCAUAUGUCUCCCAUGUUGGUAUUGAUCACAUAAUAGCAUGAUAGCACUCUAUUUCUUUUCACUACAUAUAAUCAAAAGAAGCCAUCUAACAUAAAUAUUAGUUGAGGAUGUAUAGAUUUAUUAAUAAGAAGAUAAUAAGGAAUACAAUCCUUUGAAUGCUUUUGAUAUUCUUAUCCGAUUUUGUCUUCAAGUAAUAAAAUAUCAUUGGACAACACAUCCUUUAGACAAAAAAGUAUUAAUCUUAUUUUGAUAUUAAGUGUUGUAGGUAUCUUAUAUUAUAAAUAUACAUGCUUUUCUUUAAAAUAUCUUUGUAAUUGAGGUUGAUAAGUUCUAAUACAAAUACAAACAUAUUGAAAAAUAUAAUGAUAUUGAGUAAUAGAUAAAUUCUUUAUGGCCAUAAAAAUAGUAAUUUUAAAGAACCAUGCUUAAACAUAUAGACAUUGAGUCUAAAUAUUAUGGUCAUCUAAGUCUAUAACUAAAGCCGAAUUCUCAUAUAUCAAGCUAGGUAGAAUUGGCUUCAGCUCAUACAAUAAUUAAUAAGGACUAUAGGAUUCCAAAGAUACCUAUUUUCUAAAGAAAUAUUCUGCAGUAAUCUAUAGUAAUAUUAAAUCUUAAUCAUGAUAGUUGCUAAGAAAUAAUCCAUACUUUUACAAAAUAUUCUUGACAAUCUAAAGAACUUUUUCAACUAAGCCAUUUGCCUUAGAAUGAUUUUUAGAGGUGGUACAUUGAUCUAUCAAAAUUUUAGUAUACAAAGCCUCAAAAACUCCAAAGAAUUCCUCUACAAGUAAUAAGGUUAUAUCAAAAGAAAAAAUAUAAUUAAAUUAAGAAAAGCUUUAAUAAAGUGUUUAAACUCGAUAUGACUUAAUUACAUACUUUAUAUUCAAAAAUAUGUGUGACAAUUUGUUGAUACAUGUCAAUCCACCAAUAUUGAUUACACUAUAUAGAAUAUGUCUUAUGUACCUCAAAAUAUCAAAGCUCCUAAUGUACUUGCCACAUCAAAGAAGAUCUCUAAUCUUGUCUUAGAACUAUGUACCUAGUUCCAUCAAAUGACAUACAAAAGAACAAAUAAUUCUUCUAAUGAAACUUUACUACUUGUCAUGGAGAUAUAUAGUUAUUCAAAGAAUUAUCUCAAUAAUAUGAAUAGAUAGCAAUAGAUAAAAGUAGAUAAAUUUGAUAAUAUCUUGUAGAAAAGCUUCAUAGUUGCUGCUUUGUCUUUAUAAGUAUCUAUAGGUGAUUGGUAGAUUAAAAAACUUUGUUAACAAGCUGGCGAUGUAUUGUAUAUGUUGGUAACUUAUGGUAUAAGUUAGCUAUGUAAGGUAUAUGUAUAAAACUUAUUUUACAAGUUAGACAUAUAUCUUCUAAGUUGAGCAUGUAUUGGAGGUUCUAUGGAAUGUUACUAUGUUGCUCAUAACUAGAUAGUAUAUAUAGAGGCAAGAGUGAAGCUUAAUUCAUUCUUAUUAAUUUUUUUCUUGCUUUUAUUCUAGUUUUAAGAGUUUUUAAUUUCCUAGUCUUUAAUAAUAGCCAUUCAAGUUUUUUCUUAAAUAUAUAUAUAUACUUUUUUAUUUAUUUUUUAUUGUCAUCUUUCUUUGAAAAAUGAAUAAAUAAUUUAUUUUUAUUCUUCAAGUUCUUAUCAUUGACACUACUUAGUGAUUAAUCCUAUAUUAUUCCUUAGUAGUUGAAGAAAAUGUCCCUUGUUGAAGCUUGUGUAAAAUUGUAAGAUCCUUCUACUCAUUGUUAAUCACUUGGGUUCUAUUAAAUUUUUCAUUUGAAUAUUAAUCAAGCACCAUAAAUAUAGAGUAUUAAAUUAAAGUAAGAUAUAUUAUUGCAUGCCAUCAUGGAAUUGCUUUUCUAUUGCAAUCUCUAUGCUAUCUACCUUUGAUCAAAUUCUCUUUUAAAAGAAUUGGGUUAUGAAAAAGUCUCUCUUUAUCCAAAUUGAUAAUACUUGUGUGAUUCACAUUUUCAAAGUCAUACUCUUAAAGCAACAAAGUCCAUCUAGCAAGCCUCCCAAUAAAUUUAUUUGAUUCUAUAGACUACUCCAAAGAUUAAUGGUCAAUCACCAAUAUAAACUAUUAUUUAUACAAAUAAGGUUCUAAAUGAGCAAUGGCCCAAAUUACUGCCAAAACUUCUUUCUUAUAAGAUGAAUAGUUAGACUUUCCAUUGUUAUUAUAUCUAGAAGCAAAUGCAAUGUUAUAUUCUUAUUUUAUAUUAUUCUUCUAUAUCAAGAAUACUUCCAAUACUGUAAAGCUUUAGUCUUUGUAUGAUUGAAAAGAUCUAGUAGCAUCUAGAUAUCAAAGUAUUAGAAUUAAACUUAAUUUUUGCUUCAAUGUCUCAAAUGUGUCUUGCUACUCAUGUUUCUAAGUCCAUAGUUAAUCUUUA